rnacentral:lncRNA from 1 species
AAGUUGCAUUCCAAAGUUUCCAAAUGAUAUAAUGUGGAAACUUCAUCUCCUCUAACUGAGAGAACAACUUCAGAUUUCUGAUGAAGCUUGAGGAACUGUAAUUUUGAGAGUUGGGGUAAAAUACCCGACCGUAAAACACGCACCCCACUUCCAUCAAGAUUAAGAUACCUUAGAUCCUCCAGCCGUUCCAUUCCCUCGGGCAAAUCUUCAAGUCCAGUGUAACUGAGAUCCAACUUCUCCAAUGCCUUAAGCUUUGCUAAUGAUGGUACAUAACUCAGCUUUGCACACCAUCCCAGCAACAAUGCAGUUAGACUCGUCAGAUGACAAAUAGAAUCCGGCAACUUCUCUAUAUCUGUGUCGGAAAGAUCAAGAACCUUGAGUCCGAUGAGGUGCUGGAAAAAAGAUUCCUCAACCAAAUCCAAUUUGUAGUUUCUGCAUAACAAUAAUGUUGAGAGACGGGGGCACAUUGGUGAAAAGUCUGUUGGAAUAUUCUCGAUUCUAUUUUCCAUGAGUGAAGCUCUUAACAGUUCCUCUCUCCACAAUCUUACAUCGGGUAAUUCUGUUAGUUGUGCACCUGCUUGAACCAUAGCCCCCCCACUUUCGUUCAAUAUUUUCCAAGCCAUAUCCCAAAUCAAAUCAUGCAUCUUGACAUAUCUGUAAUCUUCAUCGUCCCUGGAACCUUCUAAUAAGCUGGCAUCUUCAAGUUGAUCAAGCAUGGUAUGGCCCCUAUCAAAUCGUGCAUGCCUUCGCCCCAUUUCUUUGACUAUACCCUCGUCAAUCAAAUACUCUAUCAAGUCCUCUCUCAAGAUGAUCUUGCCUUUUGGAAAUAGUGUGAUAUGUAAGAAGAACUCUUGAAGUGCUGAAUCGUUCAACUGAGCAUAGCUAAAUUUCAAUACUCGAAAUACAUUGGCUUCCAUCUCACCUGGUCCAACUUCUAAUCUUCUCAGUUUUAGCAAUGCAUCUCUCCAACGAUAUUCACCAUCCACUCCCUUCAUGCUUCGAGCCAUUGUCAUGAUUCCAAGGGGCAAACAAGCACACUCCUUCACAAUAGACUCUGCGAUCUCAGGAUAAAGUGUACCACCACGCCCUAAUCUGUAUAUGAACAAAUCCCAAGCCUCGCCCUCAGAAAGAGACUCCACUUUGAUUAUCCUUUGGCAAUCCAUUUUUCGACAUAUCUCCGAUGAUCUUGUUGUGAGAAGCAACUUCCACCCGUCUGUUCUAAGAGGUAUUCCCACUUCGUCAGGAAGAAAAUGACCCCACAAAUUAUCAAGAAUUAAAACACCUUUUAUCACACUCAAUGCUGUCCAUAGCUCCCUGGCUCUAAUCAUCACAUCUUUUUCAUUCUGAAGACAUAAACCAAAAGCAUUGGCAAUGAGAUCCUGCAGUGCGUGAACGCUAAAUUCUCGAGAGUCAGUAAUCCAAUAGACAGGGAAAAAUGUCAGGUUUCUCUUGAAGUUGAUCAAGGAUAUGCGUAGCCAAAGUUGUCUUUCCGACCCCCCCCAUCCCGUAAAUGCCAAUGCAUGAGACCUCAUCAUUCAACAACCAAGAGCAGACAUCCUCCUUAUUUCUUUUAAACGCUUGGCCCACCAUCUUCGUUGUCAGAUCAUAUCUUGUAGUCCUAGGACGCUUAUGUACAGGCCUUUUAGAAGAGCUUCCUCUCACAACAAAAGACUGUUCUUUGUCUAGUCUCGGGUUCAUCUGGCAUAAGAACGACAGGAGCUCUAGGUUCCUCGACAAGCUCAGUCUCCCCCCCAAUCAGAAAACCCUUCCGUCCUCGUUCAUCCGAAAGAGGUUGUUCUUCUUGUUCCAUUUCUAAGCCCCGCAAAGCAGUUGACGCUGCAUUAAUUCCCUCGUUAUUGCUUGAACUUGGCACACUCUUAUCUACAGGCAUUUUAGAACAGCUUCCUCUCUCAGUAACAGCCUGCAUCAACUCCCGACUCUCUAUACCACUGCUUAACUCAACAUCCCUCGUCAAUGAAGAUGUGAUGUUAUUCAUAUCCGUUUCAAAUGCUUGAACUGCUGGCUCUAUUCCCAAUCCAGUCUCAGGUGCAUGCUAGGAACCAUGGUCUCCUCAGGAAGCACAAUCUCUUCCCAAUUCAAGCUAUCCAUCCAUGAAAAAUCAUCCAAAAGAGACUGUCCUUGUUGUUGCAUUUCUAAAUCUUGCGCAGGAUCUGAAUCUGCAGUAACUAUUAUAUUAUUGCUUGAACUUGGCAUGCUCCCACGCAUUCUGUCAGGAAGCUUAUCAAACGCUGCUCGUUGAACAUCUGGAGUUACUUUUUCACAAAUUUUAACACCACCACCUCCAACUCUUUCCAGAUGAUAUUUCAUCCUUGUAGUGGAAGUACUUCCAGCCAAUGUCUUCUCACAAAAAAUGCACUUCAAUAAACCACCAUCCACUUUCUCAAAAUAACUCUGAAAUGGAUCACUUCCUCCAGCCAUUUUUUCUUCUGUGUCCCUACAUACAGACAUAACAAAGAACUUUCAGAAUAUUGAAUUAAAAUGGAACUUAAACUAAUUGAAAAAAAGAAGAAGCUAAGUUUAAGAUAAAAAGAAAAUUGAUUACAGGUGUUUCACUGUCUAAACCAAAGUCAAGUUAAACCACUCCAAAGAUCAAAGUGUUCUUUUCUUUUUACUUUCCCAAUAAUUCUACAACUGGUCAUAUCAGUAAUUUAAUAACCAGUAUGUUUCUUUUUGCUUAGAAGAAUCAAACUACAUGAGUUGGAAAAGAAAUGGUAUGAAAAAAGAGCUAAAAUUAAUCAAACUUAAUUACCUGAACAGCAGAAGCAGCAAGAUGUUAUCCAAUGGUCUGAUUAAAUCAGAAAAAAAGAAGAUGGACGGGGAAGAGUAAGUGUGUUGGAGACGAGUGAUAGAGCUUCGGCUUGCGUGGUUGUGGAUAAGGAUAGAUUCAGACAGUCAGAGAAGCAGAUGACAGUGAAAAAAAGUUAAAUUGACUUCUGUCGUUCAUGGAUGUCAUAUGGACAUGUUGUUGGUCUUCCAGGAAGCGGAUCCGGCGAGGGGUGCUCUAGUGAAGGCGUGGGGGUAGGCGGUGGCUGAUGAUAGUCUCCUCGUGUGGUGGACAGCACGCCAGCUUUGCAAACGAUGAGAAAGAGCACGAUCCACCACAAAACCGCAGAAGAGAAAGCAGCAGGCCGAGAGAAGAAAAGGGAGCAGGAGCAGAGUUGACCGAGAGAGAAGUAGAGCUUGUUAGAGCAUCUAUUAAAUAGCCGAAUGGAAAAAACGGGUUUUUAAAUAGUAUAAAUAUAACUUUUUUAAUUAUAUGUAUUUCAAUAAUAAAAAAUUAAUUAUGUUUUAAUAUAUUUUAUGUUAAAUUAAUUUUAAUAUAAUUAUAUAACUAAUUUAGAUAUUUUAUAUAUAAUAUAAUUAUGAUGUUAUUAAUUAUAUAAUUAAUAUGAGUAGUUUAUAAAAGUAAUAUAAAAUUAAUGAAGUAAUAUGAAAGUUAAAAGAUAUAAUUUAAAAUUGAAUUUAAAAUUUAUUUAUAUGAAUAUCUUUAAUUUUAAGUUUUAUAUGUUAUUGUUAAAUAUUUAAUUUCUUAAAAAGUAAAUUCAAAUUCAAACUUUGAAAAAAUGAUCGCCAACAUUUUAAAUUUUAAAAUUUUAAAUUUUGAAAAAAUUACCGCCAACAUUCUAAGAUUUUACAAUUUGAAAAAAUAAUCCAUCUAUAAAUAUUCUCAUAUACCUUAACAUUUUUUCUCGUCAUUUUCUUCUCUCUAAUCUUUGUUAUAUUUCAUUAAAAUUCAUCAUGAAUCAUUCUAAUUUUAAUUUUUAUGAUGCUUUUGAUUUUGAUGAUGACACUCUUGUGUUUGUUUUUCAAGUUGCUACUGUUGUGGUUGCUGAAGAAGAAUCGAAUAAUCAAGGGUGGAGAACAGGGUAUCGUGCCUCUAUUUCUGGUCACAAUAUUGUCAAUCGUAAUAGAAAGGAAGGUGAGUUAAGGUUAUAUAAUGAUAAUUUUGCAGAAAAUCCUAAAUUCACUGAAAGUCAAUUUCGAAGAAGAUUUAGGAUGAGUCGUCGUCUUUUUCUUCGGAUCGCAAAUGCAGUGGAAGCUUACAAUCCAUAUUUCAAACAAAGAACAAAUGCUCUUGGUGUUCUUGGUUUAUCUUGCCUUCAAAAGGUAACUGCAGCUCAUAAAAUACUUGCAUAUGGUAUUCCUGUAGAUCUUAUUGAUGAAUAUCUUCGAAUUGGAGAAACCACUGAAAUAGAAAGUCUUAGAGCUUUCGUCAAAGCAAUCGUAGAAGUUUUUGGUGAUUGGUAUCUAAGGACACCAAACAAGGUCGAUAUUUGUCGAUUAUUAUCAAUUGGAGAGCAACGUGGAUUUCUAGGGAUGUUAGGGAGCAUUGAUUAUAUGCAUUGGAAAUGGAAGAAAUGCCCAAUUGCAUGGCCUAGGAUGUAUACUGGUCAUUGUCGUGAACCAACUAUAAUUCUAGAGGCGAUGGCUUCACAAGAUCUUUGGAUAUGACAUGCCUUUUUUGGAAUCCCUGGAUCAUUAAAUGAUAUUAAUGUUCUUGAUCGGUCACCUAUCUUUGCUGCACUUGCUGAAGGUUGUACUGCUCAUGUCAAUUAUACAAUUAAUGGGCAUGAAUAUACAAUGGGAUACUAUUUAGCACAUGAGAUUUAUCAUAAUUGGUCAACCUUUGUUAAGACAAUCUCAAGACCAUUAGGAGCAAAGAGAAAAUAUUUUACAAGCAAGCAAGAGUCUGCAAGAAAAGAUGUGGAGCGGGCAUUUGAGGUGCUCCAAUCUCGUUUUGCAAUUGUACGUGGACCUGUUCGAUACUGGGAUGAAGAAACACUUGCAUAUAUUAUGAAAGCUUGCAUAAUAAUGCAUAAUAUGAUUAUUGAGGAUGAAGGAGCAAUGAACCUUGGAUUUGACCAUGAACAUGAAGUCAAUUCCUUUAUAUCAAUGUCAUAUGGUGAAAUACCAGAACUACAUGAUUUUUUUCAAACUCAUAAUCGAAUUAGGGAUAGAGCAACUAGCUCUCAACUACAAGAAGAUUUGAUUGAACAUUUAUGGGAACAAUAUGGCAACGAGUAGAAUCUUUAAAUUUGAACUUCUUAUGUUAUCAUAAUUUUCAAGUUUUUUAUGUUUUUUUUUCAUUAUGGUUGUUAUCUUUUAAGUUAAUUAAUCCUACUUAUUAUUGUUAAGUGUUAGAGAAACUUCAAAAAAGUAUUAUGAAUUAAUAUCAAUUUCAUAACAAUAUAUUUAAAAUAACCAGGAAUUUUCUACAUAUUUAAUUAAAAAUACAUUACAUUACAAUAAAUCAAUCAAAGUUAAUUAAAAAUUAAAACCCCUCUUUUGUAUAAUUUCUAACUUUUUAUUUUGAAAAUACGCUGCAGAAAUUAGAUCCAAAUUAGAAAUAUUCAUUUUCAUAAUUUGUUCUUCUUUCUCAAUCCUGUCCAAUUCUUGUUUCUCUUGACUUUGUUGAAUCAUCAUAGCUUGUUACUCUAACAUAAUUUUCCUGUCUUGUUUCUUCUGAUCCUCAAUUUCAACUAGAGUAUCCCUAAAUUGUUUCCUUGUCUACGUUUAAGUCGUUUCUUUGCAACCUUCUGACCGAUUGGUCUAUCUUGAUAAAUCAAUGGUUCACUAUCUUCUCCUAAACUAACAGAAUCAGGGGUAGAUGGAGUUGAUGAAGCCGGACUUGCAUUGACAUGACUUUUUUGUUUCUUGUUUGACCUUUGAUGUUGACUUGCACGCUCAAAUUGCCAUUUGGGCUCUUUUCUUAAGAUAACCCAAUAAUGUUCUAGUUGAAAUUGUUUGUCAAUGCAAGAAACAUACAUUUGCCAAGCAUCAUUAAUCUGGUAAAUAAAUUAAUUAAUUAAAUAAUGUUAAAAUAUGUGUUAAACAAUUUAACAUAGAAAUGAAUAUUAAAAUUACCCUUGAUUCUUCGGUCAUUCCAUUUUGCUGACGAUUUUUAAUUUGAGUAACAAAUCCAAUAAAUUUACCGACUUCUCUAUUUAUUUCUUGCCAUCUACUUGAGAUGCUUAUUUGGGAACGAUUAUUCAAGUUUCCUCCAUUCUCUACAAAGUAAGUAUGUACUCGAGCCCAGACUGUUUUAUUUGUUGUUCAACUCCUGUAAUUGGAUCCUUGCUUGUAUUUAGCCAUGUAGGGACAAGUAAACAAUCUUUCUCUGGUGAGAAAUUUUUACUUCUUUGUGAUUUUUUUAUCGAAUGGAUAUUUAAAUUCGAGUCUGUUAAGUCAUCAAUUAAUUGAUUAGAAUCACUUGGUUGAGAGAGAAUAUCUUCUGACUCACUCAUAAGAAAGUUGGUAAAAGAGCUUAGAAAAUUUGAAUCUAUCUACAUUAAAAAAAAAAUCUCAAGUUAAAACCUUAUAAGAGAGUGUAAAAGAAGCUCACAUUCAAUGUCUAGCAAUUUUGUAGUUUGCAUACAUGUGAAUUAAUAAUAAGCAUUGCCUCCUACAUAUUCUGAUAUAACAAUUUGACUAUUUUUUUGGAACUAAAAGAGAAUUGAUAUACUGGUUUAAUUAUAUUUUCAACAAGACAAAAUAUAAUUGACCUCAAAUUAAAACAGACAAUCAAAAAUAAAUUUUAAAUAUAUCACUCUAUCUUUUUAUCAAUAUCAACUACCAUUAUUAAUUCCUCUCAAUUUUAUCAAAGAUAUCAACAUAAAUAAAAAUUGUCUUUCUUAACCCAUAUUAAAAACAUAAAAUAAUAAAGAAAUAAAAAUCAUCACAAAUAUUAAAUUAACAACAAAAGAUCUAAAAAAUCAAGAGAUAUAAAAGAGAAUAAAAAAAAGCUUUUAAACAAGCAUACCUUUUAAUUUCAGCUAAUUAACACAACUGAUAUUAUUAAUUAACCGGAGAAUAAUUGAUUCUUGUUUUUUUAAAUUUGAGAGAAGGGUGAGGCACAAUACAAAAUUUUAAAAUCUACAAGUUCUUUCCUCCUAUAUUUAAAGAAAAACAAAAAGAGUUGUUGGCCAACGGCCAAGGUUGUCAAAAACGCUUUUUUGACACGACACGGAACAUUCAAUUUAAACUCGACUCGUAAACUCGAAUCGUAAAAUCGGAAGUAAAAAUUUUUAACUAAAAAUCGUAAAAUCGGAAUUAAAAUAUUUUAACUAAAAUCGUAAAAUCGCAAGUAAAAUAUUUUAAACAAUACAAAUAUCCAAACAUAUUAAAAUACAUAAUUCAAAUAAAAGUAAAAUAAACAAUACAAAUAUCCAAACAUCUUAAAAUACAUAAUUCAAAUAAAAAUUCAUACAUGUCCAUAGUAUUUAAAAAGAUUCCAAAGCCAACAACUCCAUGUAUCAAGAUCAAGCUAAAAAUGGCAAUGGAAUGGGUGCACGUUUGCAUGAUUUGGCAGAACAAAUGAAUAAGGAAGCUAAAGGAGACCAAUUGCGUUACUUAAAAAGAUUGUUCAUCACAUUUAACUGAUUGAUAUACUGGCAAAAAAAGCUUAAUGAAAUGCCUCAAUCACUAAAACAAAAACUAGUGUAGUAAUCAUCAACUCAUAGCAUCUAGGUUAUAUCUUGGACAUUAUUCUGACAAGGAAAUAUGAUAAAACAAGUGCAAUGCCAAAGCAUGCAAAUGGUCACACACUCACAGUCUCACACUCUCUAUUCCGAAAAAAAAAAAAAAACAGAAUACACUCAAUACAGUGCAAACCAAAUAUCACUAAAUCAAAGCCUUGCAGGAUGAUAACAUUUGAGAGAUGCAGUCCGCUUUAAAUUGCUAUCCAGUAAUACACAAAAAGCCUAGAUAAAUUAAAUGCAAAAGACAUUCCAAAUAGGUGCAUCAAUUGCCCUAAAGUUUGCAGUUUUUGGAUUUACAGAAUACCUGCAAUCCUGAAAAUUGGAAUGCUUCCUUGCUUCGCUGGAUCGUUGUCUAUGCAGAUUGCAGAAUUAUAGAAUCUGCAACACCAAAGCAAGCAAGAUCAAACAGAGCAUAGGUGAACAUUAAAAGAAAUCUGGCUUUGCUUGUAAUUAAAAUCGCCAGUCAAAGUGCCAAGCUCCAUUUCCUUCCCUUUGAAUGGGAUUUUCUUAUCAAAUCUUUUUUUCUUUUUAAUGGAUUCCAACGUCAUUAAAUGCUUCAUUGAAGUGAAAAAAUGACUAGGGGAAAAAUGCAGAAAUCUACCAUUUACUUCAGCCCAUUUGCACUUAUGGUGACUGUGAUUUCCUCCGUUGGCUUUUAUCCUUUUUCCAUAAGUAAAGUUGCCUAUACAAGUCCUUAAACUGUUUAAUUUGUUGCAAUUGAUUACCAAUCCUUUAAUGUUUGAAAAUUGGUCUAAUUAUGUUAUUUUAGCCUAGAAAAUAGAAUUGGUUGAUGGUAAAUAGCCUGGCAGUGCAGGUAAAAGUUAGCAUAAAUGCUUAUCCAAAGCUCAGUAAACCAUUGUUAGAAUACCCAGAAGCAAACCACUAAUUUUUAGAAUACCCAGAAGAUAAACAAUGAAUUUCACAGCAUACCCAUAUCAUUUUUUUUUAUCUCUAAUCACCACCAUUAGACAGAAAAAAACAAAGCUUGGGAUUGAGAAUCAAUUCUUACCUUCAUCUCACCAAGAACGCUCUGGAUCGGGGGGGAAUGAUUUCUUGAUUUGCUGGGGAAAGGGGAAAGGGAAAAGGGAAAAGGGAAAGGGAGUCAGGAGGGAGACUGGGAGCAGGGAGAGUGUGAGACAGAAAGGGAAUGAUUUCUUGAUUUCUUGAAGUCACUGGUAGGGUGAGGGUGGUCGCCUGGUCGGGUGGGAAUUGGGAAAGAAAAGAGAUUGUGAAUUUGUGAGACAGGGACAAAGUCAAAAUUUUUGCAUUUCUAAUUGCAUUCGGUCAGGUGACAUUUUGGUUAAGUCGUGAAAACGUAACGUUUUUAACGUUUUUGCGAGUUAUUACGGUUUUAUGCGAUUUUGAUGAUUUUCGAUUUUUGUCUUCGUCUUUACACGUUUUAUGGGUUUUAACUCGUAAAAUCGUAUGAUUUUACGAGUUAAAACGCAUUUUUAACAACCAUACCAACGGCUAUAAAAAUAGCCCUUGGCCAACAAUUAUUUGUUUUUGUCAUUUCUACAGGGAAAUAUAGAAAUGGCUAGCCAGUGAACAAAUAGCUAAAAUAGCUAUUUGUUUGGGUGCUGCGUUAGAGUGAAGAAAUGAAAAGGUAAAAGCUAAAAAUACACUUUUUAAUAUUUGACUCAUGCGUUGGAGAUGCUCUUAAAGCAAUUCAAUUAAUAUAAAAUAAAUAAAAACUUGUAUACAAAGGUUAGAAUUUAUUUAUUCAUUUAUUUAUUUUAAAAGUAUAUAUUUUAAUCUAAAUAUAAAGUAAUUAUAUAUAGACUAAAUUAAAAAUAUUUUUUAUUUUUAAUAAAAAAACAAGAUAAAUAUAUAUCUUUUAACAGGCUCUCAAACUCGCGAUGUGACAUCUACAAGUAUUGAGAGUUUAUCAAUUAGAAAACGAAAAUGAGAAAUGGAUUGCAACUUGGUAAAGAAAUCUGUAAUUUGCAAUGAAAAAAAACAAAAGGCAAAAUAAUGGUAUCAUGCUUGAGAUGAUAGCGAGUAAAAUAACAAUUGAUCUCAAUAUAUUUAGUUCAUUCAUGAAAAAUUAAAUUGUAAAUAAUAUAAAUUGAACUCUAAUUGUUAAAAUUCAUAGAAAUAGAAUAAGAAAAUUUUUAUUGAACUCCUAUUAAAAAAAAAUUCACUAAUACAAAUAUCUUUUUUUAUUAUUAUUAUUAUUCUUUUUCUUCUUCUUCUUUUUUUGCUAGAAUGUGAUUAUCAAAUCAUUUGCUCUCUCCUAAAACUUUUGUGAUAACUUUCCUUUCUUUUUUCAAAAUCCCAAGAUUGAAAUAUGAAAAAAAAAAAAAAUAAAGUUUGAUAAUGAAACAUCAAUCUCUAAAACAAUAGGAAUCAAAUAACAAAAAAAUUGAAAUUUUAAAGAUUAAAUUAAAAUUUUUCAUGUCAAAAUCUGAAUGGUGUAUUUCUUUUUUUUCUUCGUUAAAUCUGGUUUUUGUUUCUUUUAAUUUUUGAUUUGGAACCACAAUUAAAUUUCAAAUUUAAAAAAUCAGAAUCAAACUCAAAUUUAAAUAUCCUUAAAACCAAGCAUGCAAGAGAUAAUGUAAAUCAAAAGAAAUACAAACAAAUGAUACCAUGAUAAUAUAAUUCUAAAGGAUAAAAUUAUAAAAAUAAAAAGUUUAAUAAUCAAAAUUAAAAAUAUAUUAUUCUUAUAAACAGAUGAAUCCACAAUAAAAUAAGUAAAAUAAGUAUGCGUAAAUCAUAUUUGUGCUACAAUUAAAGACCCAUAUGUUUUAGUCAAUGACUAGUAGCGGACCCAUACUAUAUCAUAAGGUUAGAUUUUCUUUUUGUGUAAAAAUUAAUGUUGAGGUGUUGCAAAUAUAUUUUUAAGCAUGAAGAAGAAUUCUCAUUUUAGGUUAUAGACUUGACCAUGUCAAAUAGGAUAGUUUAUUUUAAUUAGAUGAUAGAAAAAAUAGAGUAAUGGAAAUAGAUGUACAAAAUUAAAGAAAAAGUCAUGAUAAUAUAGGGAAAAACUUUAGAGGAUGAAGUUGCAAGAAUUAAAAGUCCAAUAACUAAAAUUAAAAAAAUGAUCUGCUCAUAUGUACAAUCAAAUCCACGACGAAAGCAUGAACAUUGUUUGGUGCCAUAGUAAGAGAUCCUAUGUUCAAGCUAUUUCUGUAAUAAUCUCUAACUGUAAUUUGAGUUCGUCAUCCAAUUGUAAGCUACACGUCGUCUGUGAUUGUCAGUUUUCUAUUCAGACAUUCUGUGAAUAGUCAGUCAAAGUGAAAUACAAGAAAACAAAUCCCUCUCUCCUCUCCCCGCUCUGUAAACUCUCCUUUUAGGUAGCCAUGACUGCGGCCACCAAGAAACACCUACCCUCCUCCGCUAAGCCACCCAAGAACCACCACUCUACCCCCAACACCACCACCACAACAACCCCACAACCUAACAUCACUCAAAACCCUAACCCAACCACCAAUCCAUCACCACUAUCUCCCACCCUCAAAGACCAGGUUUUGUCACGCGCCACCCACAUCACGCACCAAGAACUCCUCAAAAGAAGGUCUUACAAGCUAAAACAGCUCUCAAAAUGCUUCAAAGAUCAUUACUGGGCAUUAAUGGAAGAACUCAAGAUUCAGUACAGAGAGACUUUUUUUGUCUUAUUUUUUUAUAUUAAUUUUUUCUCCUUUCAUAUAAUUAUUUUAUUUUCUUUUAAUUUUUACUUUAUUAACAAAUAAAAUGAGAUAUUUUAAAAAUAUUUUAAAAAAUUAGUUUUAUAAUAUUGACAAACAUUUAUUUUUUGCUUUGAAUUAUUUUUUUUUCUUGCUUUAUUUGUUAUAAUAUCAUUAAAUUAAUUAAUUUCAUUAAAUUUAUUAAAGCAAAUUACCUAUAUAUUAUUUUUAAUAUUUUUAUACUAAAAAUAAUUGGUUCAUGUGAAGCGACCCGCCUAACUAUUCUUAUCUGUAAACAUAUCAUGUUAUCACAAACUUAUUUAAAGCUUGACGCAUUGGUCAAUUAUUUUAUAUUUCAGUGUUUUGUGACAUUAACAAUGAAGUUAUUGAUUGAAGCAUUGGUCCACACUCUUAAAUGGCGAAGACUUCCCCCAUGCGCACUCAGGUCAAUGAUGAACAAUUGUAGGUUUUUUGAUCGCCAAACCUUACUUUUGAAGAUGUCAUUGAAAGUGCCGCCCCAUCUUUUAUUUUUUUUGUUUUUUUUAUGGCGUGGGUGGCGCGAUAAUUUAGUAUUUUUAUUUUUAUGUUUUAAAAAUAUUUUUUAAAAAAUUUAAAAACUAAUAUAUUUUUAAAUUAUUUUGAUGCGUGAAUAUUAAAAAUAAUUUAAAAAAUAUAUAUAAUUAAUAUAUAUAUUUUAAUACAAAAAAUUAUUUAAAAAAUAAUCACACGGUACUAAAUAAUCUCUUGAAAUUGUUGGAGUGUCGGGACUGUUCUCAUAUGUUUUUAUAUUUUUUUUUAUUUCAGUUUUUAUUCUAUUAAUUUUAUAAUUUUUUAUUUGAUACUUUUAUUUAAAAUUUUAAUCGCUUUCAAUAAAGCUUGUCGGUGGUAAAACACACUCCGAAGCAAUCUGUGGUUCAACGACAAAAAUAUGAGCUUUCUUUUCUGUUCGUUUCUGUGGUCCACCACCUUUAAUUUCUUUCAUGGCAAGAGUUUUGCCCCCAUGCGCAAUUAGGUCAAUGACGAAGAAUUGUAGGGUUCUUGCUUAUUUCUUCUGGUCCAGAAGCCUGUGCCGUGUAACAAUCUAUGGGUAGAAAUUAAUGGCAAAGGGAAGAGAUGAAAGAAGAAGGUCCAUCAAAAUCCUUCUAUCCUCCCUGCAACUCCUUCAGAAUUCUAGGACUUGUUUAUUUUUGUAUUUUUAAAAUAUUUAAAAAAAAUUAAUUUUUUUUAUUUGUUUAAAAUUAAAACACGUCAAUUACAAGAUAUUAAAUAAUCAAAGAAAACAUCCAAGUUUAACAUCAUAAAAUAAUAAUAAAUUAGUUCAUUGUAUAGAGAACAGUAAAUUUAUCUUAAUAAAAAAUUAAAUGAAAUCAAUCGUAUGAAAGUGAAAUAAAACAAUAAGUGAUGCCUAAUCCUUUGAUCUCCCACCAACAAUCUUUUAGCAAUAUUUUGUUGAAAAAGUGUACCUCUAAUCUUACAGUUUUGUUCUUAGUUUUAUUGUCUUCAUUUGUAUUCUAUCAUAUGAGUUUCCAGACUUGUAGGUAAACAUAAAUGCAUCUAGCAACAAUUUCUCUAAGUUUUUUUAUUGAAUCUAUGAAAAGAAUUUCAAGAAGUUAAUUACGAAUUUAUAUAAACUCUUGUACUAAAACAAUCAAAUUAUAUUAUGAAAUUAAUUUUGUUAUUAAUACUUCAUUGAAUUCAGAAUUUGUGAUCCAAAUGGUUAAUUUGACCAUGGUCUUGGAGAGUUUUUUUAUUUUUUUUUAUCUGAAAGAUAUUCAUCUUCAAAUUUUAUUAGAAAAAAAUAUCACAAAUAAAAAGUAAAUUUUAAAUUUUUACAAAAAUAUUUUUAAAACAUAUAAAUAUACACAGACAGUUAGUAUUGUCAUUGACAUGGUCUUGAUGAUGACUUACCAAAAUAAUUUUCAAUUGUCGAUGCUCCAUAGAGUGUUUAAGGCACAAGCCACUCUCUCCCAGUGAAGCAAUGAUUUUUAGUCCAAGUUAUCAUGUGCGUGCUUGAAAGUUUUUUUGUCCCGUAAUUGCAGCAAAAUUUGAAUUUUGCACCUAAAACGAUCGUUAGCAAAAACAAUCUGUAAUUUUUCUUGCAAAGAUCUGUAAGGUAAUUAUAAGAUUAUCAGCACUGGAUAAAUAGAAAAAUCUUGGAUUUAGAACUAGAAAAAUCUUCUAAAUGAAUAAUAGAAAAGAAAAGAAAAGAGAAGAGAAGAAAGAAAGCUAAGCUUUACAACUGGAAAAAACAUUAUCAGCACUGGAUAAAUAUGAAAUGUUUAAGUUAAGUUGAUGCUGAAAUUCUGAAACGUUUAUUUCUAUCACCCUCCCGAUCACUCCUUAGUCCUUACAUAAAUAGCAUGACGUCAUACCUUUACUAUGAGGUAAAGGUUCCAAAACCAGAAUACAAAACAAUCCCUAGAAAUCAUAAAAUCCUAAUUUCAUCCCUUACUAAGGGGAAAUAGCGAUCGGGAUCCUCGUUAGCUGCGGGCAAUCACGCACAGUAAUUUCUUCGAGAGAAUCGCAAAGAAGUCUUCCAGAAUAAAUGCUAUUCAAAUUUGGUAAUUUCUUCAAUACCAAAACCCUCAAUUUAUCAAAUCUACGAAAAGGAGAGGAAUGCUCAUCACUUCCCAUUAUCUCCUGCAUGUUGUAACAUUCUUCGACUACAAUCACUUCCAAUCGGAGUGUAGACAACAACCAAGGAGGGAGCAGCACCUUCAUCCUAUGACAUUUAUGUAUCACGAUCUCUCUGAGAUUCCAGAAGACUAGCUCUGAAGGUGCUUCAAAAAGGGUUUCUAAGAUUAUCAAACCAUCAAGGUGUAGAAUCUCAAGCCCUUCAAUUUCAUCUGAUGGACAUAAGCUUCUCAUGUUUUGACAUCUCACAAAAACUACUUUUGUAAUGAAGAGCGGGAUCAGACGAUUUGCAUUGUCAAGCUUGAGGUCAUAAAACCAAGCCUCUUUAAUUAACCCUGACUUCGAUCUUGUAUAAUUUAGAUCUUCAAGUGAAGAGAAACAAGGUCGUCCUACAGUAACCUUGCAUGCAAUUUGUGAAAAUCUCCGUCCACGACAGAAAUAUACGAAAUCGUCUAGAUCACGGAAGUUGCAUUCCAAAGUUUCCAAAUCAUAUAAUCUGGAAACUUCGUCUCCACUAACUAAGAGAACAACUCCAAAUCCCUGAAGAAGCUUGAGGAACUGUAAUUUUGAGAGUUGGGGUAAAAUACCCGGCCGUAAAAAACGCACCACACUUUGAUCAAGAUUAAGAUACCUGAGAUCCUUCAGCCCUUCCAUUCCCUCGGGCAAAUCUUCAAGUCCAGUGUAACUGAGAUCCAACUUCUCCAAUGCCUCAAGCUUUGCUAAUGAUGGUACAUAACUCAGCUUUGCACACCAUCCCAGCAACAAUGCAGUGAGUCUCGUCAGAUGAGAAAUAGAAUCCGGCAACUUCUCUAUAUCUGUGUCGGAAAGAUCAAGAACCUUGAGUCCGAUGAGGUGCUGGAAAAAAGAAUCCUCGACCAAAUCCAAUUUGUAGUUUCUGCAUAACAAUAAUGUUGAGAGACGGGGGCACAUUGGUGAAAAGCCUGUUGGAAUAUUCUUGAUUCUAUUUUCCAUGAGUGAAACUCUUAACAGUUCCUUUCUCCACAAUCUUACAUCGGGUAAUUCUGUUAGGUGUGCACCUGCUUGAACCAUAGCCUCCCCACUUUCGUUCAAUAUUGUCCAAGCCAUAUCCCAAAUCAAAUCAUGCAUCUUGACAUAUCUGUAAUUUUCAUCGUCCCUGGAACCUUCUAAUAAGCUGGCAUCUUCAAGUUGAUCAAGCAUGGUAUGGCCCCUAUCAAAUUGUGCAUACCUACUCCCCAUUUCUUUGACUAUACCCUCGUCAAUCAAAUACUCUAUCAAGUCCUCUCUCCAGAUGAUCUUGCCUUUUGGAAAUAGUGUGAUAUGUAAGAAGCACUCUUGAAGUGCUGAAUCGUUCAACUGAGCAUAGCUAAAUUUCAAUACUCGAAAUACAUUGGCUUCCAUCUCACCUGGUCCAACUUCUAAUCUUCUCAGUUUUAGCAAUGCAUCUCUCCAACGAUAUUCAAAAGCAUUGGCUCCCUUCAUGCUUCGAGCCAUUGUCAUGAUUCCAAGGGGCAAACCAGCACACUCCUUCACAAUAGACUGUGCGAUCUCAGGAUAAAGUGUACCACCACGCCCUAAUCUGUCUAUGAACAGAUCCCAAGCCUCACCCUCAGAAAGAGGCUCCACUUUGAUUGUCCUUUGGCAAUCCAUUUUUCGACAUAUCUCCAGUGAUCUCGUUGUGAGAAUCAACUUCCACCCGUCUGUUCUAAGAGGUAUUCCCACUUCGUCAGGAAGAAAAUCACCCCACAAAUUAUCAAGAAUUAAAACACCUUUUAUCACACUCAAUGCUGUCCAUAGCUCCCUGGCUCUAAUCAUCACAUCUUUUCCAUUCUGAAGACAUAAACCAAAAGCAUUGGCAAUGAGAUCCUGCAAUGCGUGAACGCUAAAUUCUCGAGAGUCAGUAAUCCAAUAGACACAGGGAAAAAUGUCAGGUUUCUCUUGAAGGUGAUCAAGGAUAUGUGUAGCCAAAGUUGUCUUUCCGACUCCCCCCAUCCCGUAAAUGCCAAUGCAUGAGACCUCAUCAUUCAACAACCAAGAGCAGACAUCCUUCAUAUUUCUUUUAAACGCUUGGCCCACUAUAUUCGUUGUCAGAUCAUAUCUUGUAGUCCUAGGACGCUUAUGUACAGGCCUUUUAGAAGAGCUUCCUCUCACAACAAAAGACUCUGUUCUUUGUCUAGUCUCGGGUUCAUCUGGCAUAAGAACGACAGGAGCUCUAGGUUCCUCGACAAGCUCAGUCUCCCCCCCAAUCAGAAAACCCUUACGUCCUCGUUCAUCCGAAAGUGGUUGUUCUUCUUGCUCCAUUUCUAAGCCCCGCAAAGCAGUUGAAGCUGCAUCAAUUCCCUCGUUAUUGCUUGAACUUGGCACACUCUUAUCUGCAGGCAUUUUAGAACAGCUUCCUCUCUCAGUAACAGCCUGCAUCCAUUCCUGAAGAGUGAUGUUAUUCGUAUCCGUUUCAAAUGCUUGAACUGCUGGCUCUAUUCCCAAUCCAGUCUCAGGUGCAUCGGGCAUAAGCAUGCUAGGAACCAUGGUCUCCUCAGACAGGAAAAACUCUCCCCCAGUUAUCCCAUCCAUCCAUGAAACAUCAUCCGAACUUGGCAUGCUCCCACGCAUUCUGUCAGGAAGCUUAUCAAACGCUGCUCGUUGAGCAUCUGGAGUUACUUUUUCACAAAUUUUAACACCACGACCUCGAACUUUUGCCAGAUGAUAAUUCAUCCUUGUAGUGGAAGUACUUCCAGCCAAUGUCUUCUCGCAAAACAUGCACUUCAAUAAACCACCAUCUUUCUCAAAACAACUCUGAAAUGGAUCACUUCCUCCAGCCAUUUUUUCUUCUGUGUCCCUACAUACAAACAUAACAAAGAACUUUCAGAAUAUUGAAUUAAAAUGGAACUUAAACUAAUUGAAAAAAAGAAGAAGCUAAGUUUAACAUAAAAAGAAAAAUUGAUUACAGGUGUUUCACUGUCUAAACCAAAGUCAAGUUAAACCACUCCAAAGAUCAAAGUGCUCUUUUAUUUUUACUUUCCCAAUAAUUCUACAACUGGUCAUAUCAGUAAUUUAAUAACCAGUAUGUUUCUUUUUGCUUAGAAGAAUCAAACUACAUGAGUUGGAAAAGAAAUGGUAUGAAAAAAGAGCUAAAAUUAAUCAAACUUAAUUACCUGAACAGCAGAAGCAGCAAGAUGUUAUCCAAUGGUCUGAUUAAAUCAGAAAAAAGAAGAUGGACGGGGAAGAGUAAGUGUGUUGGAGACGAGUGAUAGAGCUUCGGCUUGUGUGGUUGUGGAUAAGGAUAGAUUCAGACAGUCAGAGAAGCAGAUGACAGUGAAAAAAAGUUAAAUGGACUUCUGUCGUUCAUGGAUGUCAUAUGGACAUGUUGUUGGUCUUCCAGGAAGCGGAUCCGGCGAGGGGUGCUCUAGUGAAGGCGUGGGGGUAGGCGGUGGCUGAUGAUAGUCUCCUCGUGUGGUGGACAGCACGCCAGCUUUGCAAACGAUGAGAAAGAGCACGAUCCACCACAAAACAGCAGAAGAGAAAGCAGCAGGCCGAGAGAAGAAAAGGGAGCAGGAGCAGAGUUGACCGAGAGACAGGUAGAGCUUGUUAGAGAUGGAGAAAAUAACUUCUUAAAUAGUGUAAAUAUAAUUUUUUUUAAUUAUAUAUAUUUUAAUGGUAUAAAAAUAUUUAGAAAAGUUAAUUAUAUUUUAAUAUAUUUUAUGUUAAAUUAAUUUUAAUAUAAUUAUAUAACUAGUUUAGAUAUUUUAUAUAUAAUAUAAUUAUGAUGUUAUUAAUUAUAUAAUUAAUAUGAGUAAUUUAUAAAAGUAAUAUAAAAUUAAUGAAGUAAUAUGAAAGUUAAAAGAUAUAAUUUAAAAUUAAAUUUAAAAUUUAUUUAUAUGAAUAUUUUUAAUUUUAAGUUUUAUAUGUAAUUGUUAAAUAUUUAAUUUUUUUAAAAGUAAAUUCAAAUUUAAACUUUGAAAAAAUGACUGCCAACAUUUUAAAUUUUGAAAAAAUUACCGCCAACAUUCUAAGAUUUUACAAUUUAAAAAAAUAAUCCAUCUAUAAAUAUUCUCAUAUGCCUUAACAUUUUUUUUCUCGUCAUUUUCUUCUCUCCAAUCUUUGUUAUAUUUCAUUAAAAUUCAUCAUGAAUCAUUCUAAUUUUAAUUUUUAUGAUGCUUUUGAUUUUAAUAAUGACACUCCUAUGUUUGCUUUUCAAGUUGCUACUGUCGUGGUUGCUGAAGAAGAAUCGAAUAAUCAAGGGCGAAGAACAGGAUAUCGUGGCUCUAUUCAUGCUCACAAUAUUGUCAAUCGUAAUAGAAAGGAAGACAAGUUAAAGUUAUAUAAUGAUUAUUUUGUAGAAAAUCCUAAAUUCACUGAAAGUCAAUUUCGAAGAAGAUUUAGGAUGAGUCGUCGUCUUUUUCUUCGGAUCGCAAAUGUAGUAGAAGCUCAUAAUCCAUAUUUCAAACAAAGGACAUAUGCUCUUGGUGUUCUUGGUUUAUCUUGCCUUCAAAAGAUAACUGCAGCUCACAGAAUACUUGCAUAUAGUAUUCCUGCAGAUCUUACUAAUGAAUAUCUUUGAAUUGGAGAAAUCACUGCGAUAGAAAGUCUUAGAGCUUUCGUCAAAGCAAUCAUAAAAGUUUUUGGUGAUUGGUAUCUAAGGGCACCAAACAAGACCGAUAUUUGUCGAUUAUUAUCAAUUGGAGAGCAGCGUUGAUUUCCAGGGAUGUUAGGGAGCAUUGACUGUAUGCAUUGAAAAUGGAAGAAAUGCCCAAUUGCAUGGCAUGAGAUGUAUACUGGUCAUUAUCGUGAACCAACUAUAAUUCUAGAGGCGGUGGCUUCACAACAUCUUUGGAUAUGGUAUGUCUUUUUUGGAAUGCCUGGAUCAUUAAAUGAUAUUAAUAUUCUUGAUUGGUCAUCUAUCUUUGUUGCACUUGCUGAAGGUCGUACUGCUCCUAUCAAUUAUACAAUUAAUGGGAAUGAAUAUACAAUGGGAUACUAUUUAGCAGAUGAGAUUUAUCUUAAUUGGUCAACCUUUGUUAAGACAAUCCUAAGACCAUUAGGAGCAAAAAAAACAAAUAUUUUGCAAACAAGCAAGAGUCUGCAAGAAAAGAUGUGGAGCGGGCAUUUGGAGUGCUUCAAUCUCGUUUUGCAAUUGUACGUGGACCUGUUCGAUACUGGGAUGAAGAAACGCUUGCAUAUAUUAUGAAACCUUGCAUAAUAAUGCAUAAUAUGAUUAUUGAGGAUGAAGGAGCAAUGAACCUUGGAUUUGACCAUGAACAUGAAGUCAAUUCCUUUAUAUCAGUGUCACAUGGUGAAAUACCAGAACUACAUGAUUUUCAUCAAACUCAUAAUCGAAUUAGGGAUAGAGCAACUAGCUCUCAACUAUAAGAAGAUUUGAUUGAACAUUUGUGGAAACAAUAUGGCAACGAGUAGAAUCUUUAGAUCUGAACUUCUUAUGUUAUCAUAAUUUUCAAGUUUUUUAUGUUUUUUUUUUCAUUAUGGUUGUUAUUUUUUAAGUUAAUUAAUCCUACUUAUUAUUGUUAAGUGUUAGAGGAACUUCAAAAAAAUAUUAUGAAUUAAUAUCAAUUUCAUAACAAUAUAUUUAAAAUAACCAAGAAUUUUCUACAUAUUUAAUUAAAAAUACAUUACAUUACAAUAAAUCAAUCAAAGUUAAUUAAAAAUUAAAACCCCUCUUUUGCAUAAUUUCUAACUUUCUAUUUUGAAAUAUACAUUUUCAUAAUUUGUUCUUCUUUCUCAAUCCUGUCAAAUUCUUGUUUCUCUUGACUUUAUUGAAUCAUCAUGGCUUGUUGCUCUUACAUAAUUUUCCUGUCUUGUUUCUUCUAAUCCUCAAUUUCAACUAGAGUAUCCCUAAAUUGUUGUAAGAGAUUCGUUACAGUUACCUCCCCAACUUUAUCUUUUCCUUGUUUACUUGUACAUCGUUCAUUUGCAGCCUUCUGACCGAUUGGUCUAUCUUGAUAAAUCAAUGGCUCACUAUCUUCUUCUAAACUAACAGAAUCAAUGGUAGAUGGAGUUGAUGAAGUCGGACUUGUAUUGGCAUGACUUUUUUGUUUCUUAUUUGACCUUUGAUGUUGACUUGCACGCUCAAAUUGUUAUUUGGGUUCUUUUCUUAAGAUAACCCAACAAUGUUCUAGUUGAAAUCGUUUGCCAACGCAAGAAUCAUACAUUUGUCGAGCAUCAUUAAUCUGGUAAAAAAAUAAAUAAAUUAAAUAAUAUUAAAAUAUGUGUUAAACAAUUUAACAUAGAAAUGAAUAUUAAAAUUACCCUUGAUUCUUCAGUCUUUCCACUUUGUUGACGAUUUUCAAUUUGAGUAACAAAUCCAACAAAUUUACCGACUUCUCUAUUUAUUUCUUGCCAUCUACUUGAGAUGCUUAUUUAGGAACGAUUAUUCAAGUUUCCUCCAUUCUCUACAAAGUAAGCAUACACACGAGCCCAUAACUGUUUUGUUUGUUGUUCAACUCCUGUAAUUGGAUCCUUGCUUGUAUUUAGUCAUGCAGGGACAAGUAAACAAUAUUUCUCUGGUGAGAAAUUUUUACUUCUUUGUGAUUUUUUUGCUGAAUGGACAUAUAAAUUCAAGUAUGUUAAGUCAUCAAUUAAUUGAUUAGAAUCACUUGGUUGAGAGAGAAUAUCUUCUGACUCACUCAUAAGAAAGUUGGUAAAAGAGCUUGGAAAAUUUGAAUCCAUCUACAUUAAAAAAAAAAAAAAAACUCAAGUUAAAACCUUAUAAGAGGGUGUAAAAAAAGCUCACAUUCAAUGUCUAAUAAUUUUAUAGUUUCCAUAUAUGUGAAUUAAUAAUAAGCAUAGCCUUGUAAUUGUUCUAACAUAACAAUUUGACCAUUUUUUGAAACUAAAAGAGAUUUGAUAUACUGGUUUAAUUGUAUUUUCAACAAGACAAAAUAUAAUUGACCUCAAAUUAAAACAGAUAAUAAAAAAUAAAUUUUAAAUAUGUCACUCUAUCUUUUUAUCAAUAUCAACUACCAUUAUUAAUUCCUCUCAAUUUUAUCAAAGAUAACAACAUAAAUAAAAAUUGUCUUCCUUAACCCAUAUUAAAAACAUAAAAUAAUAAAGAAAUAAAAAUAAUCACAAAUAUUAAAUUAACAACAAAAGGUCUAAAACAUCAAGAGAUAUAAAAGAGAAAAUAGAAAAAGCUUUUAAACAAGCAUACCUUUUAAUUUCAACUAAUUAACACAACCAAUGUUAUUAAUUAACUGGAGAAUAAUUGAUUUUUAUUUUUCUAAAUUUGAGAGAAGGGUGAGGCACAAUACAAAAUUUUAAAAUCUACAAGUUCUUUCCUCCUGCAUUUAAAGAAAAUUCCUCUUGCAUUUAAAGAAAAAAAAAAAGAGCUAUUGGCCAAUGGCUAUAAAAAUAGCUGUUGGCCAACAAUUAUUUGUUUUUGCCAUUUCUACAGGGAAAUAUAGAAAUGACUUGCCAGUGAACAAAUAGCUAAAAUAGCUAUUUGUUUGGGUGCUGGGUUGGAGUGAAGAAAUGAAAAAGUAAAAGCUAAAAGUACACUUUUUAACAUUUGGCUUUUUAUUUGGCUCAUACGUUGGAGAUGCUGUUAAAACAAUUCAAUUAAUAUAAAAUAAAUAAAAACUUCUAUAAGAAGGUUAUAAUUUUUUUAAUUAAUUUAUUUUAAAAGUAUAUAUUUUAAUCUAAAUAUAAAGUAAUUAUAUAUAGACUAAAUUAAAAAUAUUUUUUAUUUUUAAUAAAAAAAAAACAAGAUAAAUAUAUAUCUUUUAACAUGCUCUCAAACUUGCAAUGUGAUAACUACAAGUAUUGAGAGUUUAUCAAUUAGAAAACAAAAGUGAGAAAUGGAUUGCAACUUGGUAAAGAAAUCUGUAAUUUGCAAUGAAAAAAAAACAAAAGGUAAAAUAAUGAUGUCAUGCUUGAGAUAAUAGCGAGUAAAAUAACAAUCGAUCUCAAUAUAUUUAGUUUGUUCAUGAAAAAUUGAAUUGUGAAUAAUAUAAAUAAAACUCUAAUUGUUAAAAUUCAAAGAAAUAGAAUAAGAAAAUUUUUAUUGAACUCCUAUUAAAAAAAUAAAUUCAAUAAUAAAAAUAUCUUUUAUUUUUAUUAUUAUUAUUAUUAUUAUUAUUAUUAUUAUUAUUCUUUUUCUUCUUCUUCUUCUUUUGCUGGAAUGUGAUUAUCAAGUCAUUAGCUCUCUCCUAAAACUUCUGUGAUAACUUUCCUUUUUUUUUUUCAAUAUCCCAAGAUUGAAAUAUGAAAAAAAUAAAUGAAACAUCAAUCUCUAAAACAAUAGCAAUCAAAAAUAUUAAAACUUUAAAGAUUAAAUUAAAAUUUUCCACGUCAAAAUCUGAAUGGUGUAUUUAUUUUUGUUCUUUGUUAAAUUUGGUUUUUGUUUCUUUUAAUUUUUUAUUUUGAACCACAAUUAAAUUUUAAAUUUAAAAAAUCAGAACCAGACUCAAAUUUAAAUUUUCUUAAAACCAAGCAUGCAGAAGAUAAUGUAAAUCAAAAGAAAUACAAACAAAUGAUACCAUGAUAAUAUAACUCUAAAGGAUAAAAUUAUAAAAAUAAAAAGUUUAAUAAUCAAAAUUAAAAAUACAUUGUUCUUAUAAACAGAUGAAUCCACAAUAAAAUGAGUAAAAUGAGUGUACGUAAAUCAUGUUUGUGCUACAAUUAAAGAUUCAUAUGUUUUAGUCAAUGACUAGUUGUGGACCCAUACUAUGUCAUAAGGUUAGAUUUUCUUUUUAUAUAAAAAUUAGUGUUGAGGUGUUGCAAAUAUAUUUUUAAGCAUGAAGAAGAAUUCUCAUUUUAGGUUAUAGACUUGACCAUGUCAAAUAGGAUAGUUUAUUUUAAUUAGAUGAUAGAAAAAAUAGAGUAAUGGAAAUAGAUGUACAAAAUUAAAGAAAAAGUCGUGAUAAUAUAGGGAAAAACUUUAGAGGAUGAAGUUGCAAGAAUUAAAAGUCCAAUGACUAAAAUUAAAAAAAUGAACUGCUCAUAUGUACAAUCAAAUCCACGACGAAAGCAUGAACAUUGUUUGGUGCCAUAGUAAAAGAUCCUUAUGUUCAAGCUAUUUCUGUAAUAAUCUCUAACUGUAAUUUGAGUUCCGUCAUCCAAUUGUAAGCUACACGUCGUCUGUGAUUGUCGGUUUUCUAUUCAGACAUCCUGUGAAUAGUCAGUCAAAGUGAAAUACAAGAAAACAAAUCCCUCUCUCCUCUCCCCGCUCUGUGAACUCUCCUUUUAGGUAGCCAUGACUGCGGCCACCAAGAAACACCUACCCUCCACACUUGAGGGUCCAGCUGCUGUGGUCAACCGUGUGACUUGUUCCGCCCCCAUCCCGGGUUCGACCCUCUAUGUGUACGCCUGUCACCCCCGCGGUGCCUUACAUGUUCACUGGGCUUGCAGGAUGCCCAGUGGGCCCGGGGACUAGUUGUGGUGCGCGCAAACUGGCCCGGACACCCCGGUUAUCAAAAAAAAAAAAAAAAAAGAAACACCUACCCUCCUCCGCUAAGCCACCCAAGAACCACCACUCUACCCCCAACACCACCACCACAACAACCCCACAACCUAACAUAACUCAAAACCCUAACCCAACCACCAAUCCAUCACCACUAUCUCCCACCCUCAAAGACCAGGUUUUGUCACGCGCCACCCAUAUCACGGACCAAGAACUCCUCAAAAGAAGGUCUUACAAGCUAAAACAACUCUCAAAAUGCUUCAAAGAUCAUUACUGGGCAUUAAUGGAAGAACUCAAGAUUCAGUACCGAGAAAAAAUUAACCGAAAAAACCGAACCGAUAGAAAAAACCGAAUAAACCGAUUAAAAAAACCACCCGGUCCGGUUCGGUUCCGGUUUAAGAAGGCUUAAACCGAUUAAACCGGACCGAACCGAACUAGUUUAAUUAAAUCUAAAAAAAUAUAUAAAAAAACAUCCUAAACUUAAUAAUUAAUACCCCCUCCCCCAAAACCUUUCCAGCUACCCCUCCCCUUUUCCCGGCUUUCUCUUCCCCCCACAAAAUAAAACCCAGCACUCUCAAUCCCCACCCACACAACCUUUCCCUCUAAACAUUUCUAAAACGUGUGAUUGGAAUGUCCAUCACAAGUGUAGAAGGAUAUUUGGGUCCCAUAUCCAGGACCGUGAUGAUUGUUAUUACCAAAGCUCUAAUUUUUUUCACUUAAAUAAGAGGACAAGACAGGACAUGACAGGACACGAGGAUAUAACGGUUUUAUCUUAUUUAAUUGAUUUCGGUUUUUCUGGUUUUUAAAGCUAAAAAACCGACCCGAACCGAACAAAACCGGUUCGGUUUGAACCGGUUCUCGGUUCGGUUCGGGUUAUAUUAACAAGGAAUAGAAUUUUCUGGUUCGGUUAAAUUUUCAUGUUAAAACCGGACCGAACCGGACCGUGAACACCCCUAAUCAUAGGAAUAUAAACAUAUACCUUCACUCUUUUUUAGAAGCUAAAAGGUUUAAAAUUAAUUUUUAAAAGUAUCAAUAUUAAAUUACCAUAAAUCAAGAAUAUAAUUCUAGAAAAAUCAAGGAUUAUUUUUAUAUAUAUUAACUUUUCAUUCACCUAUAAUUUGUUUAAAUCAUUUUAAUGAAAACAAGUUUCCAACACCAACACAUAACAACACACCUUUUUUAUUUAAUUUUUUUUAUUUGUUUUUUCAAUUUAGUUUUCAAUUGAUGCCCUCUCUUUUUAUAUAUAAUUGAUUAGUCUAUCUACUUUUUAAAUACUAAUUAAUUUUCUAAAUGAUUUUUUAAAAUUUUAUAAUGCCUCAAAGGGAUUAUUAUAAUUUGUUUUAAAUCUUUUAUCUAUUAAAUUCUUUAUCUCGAUAAGUUAUAUUUUCAUGAUAUAUUUAUAUUAAUGAAAAUCAAAUAUAUUUAGUAUCCAUUAUAAACUUUCAAGAUAAAUAAAUAAAUACUAGAAAAAAAUUAAUCAAGCCUGCAAUGUAACAUUAAUCACCAAUCGAAUUAUAAUCUAUACUAAAAGGCAUUAGUUUUUGAAAUUACUAUGCACUCUUUCACAAUACAUUAUGGAUUGGAGCAAAGAUUUUAUAUAUAUAUUUUCACUUUGGUCUUUGAACUUUUAUUUUGAGUGAUUUGAUAUUUUUUAGCCCAAAUUAGCCCCCAAUUGCACAUUGUUUUAGAAGAGAGGGUUGAAUUGAAAGAUAGGGAAUUGAAGUGAAAAUAUCGGGUAACAUAGGGGGUGGGUUGAAAAUUUUGCUAACACAUUCAUUUUAAGCCCCUAUCGUUUUUAAAUAUUAGGUGACCAACCCCUUGAAUCUUAAGAAAAUAUAUUUUUGUACCUAACUUCAUUUUUCUCUUUUUAGUUCUUUUUUUGUUGGGAGGAGAGGGAUGGAGUCGCCAAAUUCUAGCCUAUAGAGAGAAAAUGACUAUUUGAAAAGAUUACGGCCACCAAAAUGGCUGAUUUUUAUAUCAAAAAGUUUCAUAUGAUGAAGGGGUUUAGGUGUUUUUUUUUAUUAUUAUUUACCUAAAAAACACCUGAAAAAGAUCUGAGCUUUGGUAGAAUUUUUGUUUCAGUUAGAUUUUAGGUUUUGGGGCGGUUUAUUGGGUUUUUGGUGACCAUGGAUUGACUUAAUAACGUCUCUAGGGUUUUUUUCUAGGUAUCUUGGGGUAAAAAAUAGAUUGAAAAUUAAUUUUUGAGUAAAAAAAUAAAGGACCUUAUUUUUCCGGCCACCAUAAUGGCCGAAUUCUAGGUUGCGCAAAUGAUACAUCAUUGUUUUAUAUACUCAAGGCAUUAGAAUUGUUUUUAAAAUAAAGGCUUGCGCAUUAGCUGUUGCUGUAUUAGGUCAGAUAUUGGGCAUGGCUUGAUUCUUUUUUUAUUUUAUUUUUUAUUUUUAGUUUUGUGUGUAUUUUAUCAAAUAAAUUUUGGGUUUAUAUUUUAAUUAGAUUGUGAUUAAUUUUAAAUGAUAUUGAGUGUGUUUAAUUUUUAAAGAGGUAUGUAUGAUUCAUCUGUGAUUUUUUCUUAAUUUUAUAUAUAUUAAAUUUGUUUUUUUAAUAAGAAUUUUUAUAUGUGCAGUCUUACAUUGUUUAUAUAUAUAUAUAUAUAUAAUUAUUAUUCAAAACUUUUUAUGUAUGUGUCAGUUUCUAUUAUAAUUUUAGUUUGAUAGAGGGGUUCAUUAAACAUAAUGAUGUAAAUUACCCAUAUUGCAAUUUUAAUACUCAUUAUUUUUAUUGUAGUUUCUUGAUUUUUGAUUUUUGUGUUGUUUUUCUUGUGAUUUUAACCCUCAUAUUUUUUUUUUCUAUGUAUAGUACUUUCGUUCCUAUAACCUAGGUUAUUGUUUAAAAAGUUAACAGUAAUUGAUUUUUUUUGUUUUAUUUUUUUAUAUUCAUUUUUUUCUUUUUAUAUAAUUAUUCUAUUCUCUUUUAAUUUUUAUUCCAUUAACAAAUAAGAUCAUUGAGAUGUUUUGAAAAUAUUAUGAAUAUAUAGUUUUAUAAUAUUGACAAACAUUCAUCUUUUGCAUUGAAUCAUUGUUUUUUUUUUCUCGCUUUAUUUGUUUGUCAAUAUCAUUAAAUUAACUAAUUUUAUUAAAUUUAUUAAAGCAAAUUACAUUUGGAGUUAUGAGAAAUGGAACUCAAAGAUUUCUCGAAACAGAAGACCAUUGGUCCAUCACUUCUAAGAUAUGUAACUCUCAAUUCUUUCCAAACAUCGAAAGUUGUCGUGAAAUAAAGAAGAAUCAUCAGAAAGAUUCUAAACAGCGGUGUUGAGUGAAUCAUUGUGUGCUGUAAAAGUUUUUUUUUUUUAAGAUCAGACAUUUUGAAGUUUUGAAAAAAUCAAGAAGAUGAUGAAAAAGAAUGUUGAAACCACAAAUAUCUGAUUUAUGAGAAAUGAAGCUAUGAUACCAAGAAAAUUGUUGCGCAAGAAAUGAGAAACGCAGAGGAAAGAAAAGAAAAGUGGAUUCUUGAGAGAAGGAAAGUGUGUUCUGCUCUUCUAGAGAAUUAUAUGCAGAAACUUAGUUUACUCUUCUUUUAUUUCUCUUCUUCUUGUAUUGUCUAUACCAGGGGAUACGAAUGUAUAUAUAUAUAUACGCAUUUGCUAACUCUUAAUUUGUAGCAAAUUCACAGUCUAAAGCCUUCAUCAAACUAAAUUAUCAUAUUUAUAAAGGCCAAAAUCAUGGCCAGUUUUUGUGCACAUGAUCUGUAUAGGAAUUCCAUGUACAAUGCUUGAUAGUCAUAAGAAUAUAAAAUAUCCUUUGCGAGCCAUAUAGCUUGAUAGCCAGCCGGUAGAUCCACGGUUUGCCCUUUCUUGCAAAUGUUUUCAGCAUGCAACUAUUAGGUACUCAACCAUUCAUUUAGAAUUGAUAGUCUAAUGAUUGAUUUUUAAAAUAUUUUUAAUUUGAAAAGAUAUUAAAAUAAUAUAUUUUUUAUUUUUAAAAAUUAUUUUUGACAUCAGCUUAUUACAACGAUUUGAAACCAUUAAAAAAAUUAUUUUGAAGCAAAUAAAAAAUAAAACAAUUAAUUUGAAACAAAUUAAAAUUAUUUUUUUAUUAAUAAAUUAUAUUUUCAUGAUAAAUUUAUAAUAAUAAAAGUCAACUGUGAUAAACUGGCAAGAUAAAUAAAUAAUUGUUUUUUAAAAAAAUUGGUUCGGCCUGCUGCAGUGAUAUCAUCAUAUCCCAUGUCACAUUCUCAUUUAAAGCAACGACAAAAGUUUGAGCUCUUUGUUUUGAUCUGUUCAUUGGUUCUCGAGCCAGACAACAAGGCAUCUCUUUCGUUUGAUAUUUUAUACUGAAAGAGCCGGUCAAUUAUUUUAUAUUUCCUUAGUUUCUUUCAGAGCAAGGCGCCCUCAGGUCAAUGAUGAAGAAUAUUUGUAGGGUUCUUGAUUAUUUCUUCUUGUCGAGAAGCUUGUAGCAAUCUAUCACGGUGUGCUUGUCAAGAAAGAUGUACGUAUUAUAGGGUAGAAGUGGUAAAGAAAAGAGAUGAUAGGAGGAGGAUGAAAGCACAUGAUCUCUCUAGGAAUUCUAUGUACAAUUAAUGCUCGAUAAUCAACUUCUUUUCACGGUUAAAAGAUUAAAGAAUUAAUUUUUAUUAUUAAUAAUUUUUUACUCUUUAUAUAGAGAAUGACUUUAGAUUAAUUUUUUAUUUAUUUAUAAUUUGUUUAAAUUAUAUUAAAGAAAACAAAUUUCCAACGCAAAGCAUAAUAACACACCUUUUCAUUUAUUUUUUCUUACUUUGUUUCUUUAAUUUAGUUUUCAAUUAUAUCUUUUUCUUAAUCUGUUAGUUUAACUAUUUUUAAAUAGUAAAUAAUCUUUUGAAUGAUUUUUUAAAUUUCAUAAUAUCUCAAAUGGAUUAUUGUAAUUUAUUUUAAUUUUUUUUUAUAGCUAGAUAAGUUACAUUUGCAUUAUAUGUUUUUAAUGAUGAAAAUAAAAUGGACUUAGUAACCAUGAUAAACCUUCAAGAUACAUAAAAAAAAAAUCAUCUAUAAAAAAUGAUUACCAAGUUCAUGUAUAUUAUCAAGUUCAAGUAUAUUGGAUCUAGCAUACAUACACAACCUAUAUAUUUAUAAUAAAUAAAUAAAAUAACUUAAUAGUCUUCGCAAUUGAAGUAGGUAGGCUGAAUUGCCUAAAUAUGAUGAAUAAAGGGUUGAAUUUGCAAAAUGAUAUACACAUUUUAAUUUGUUGAUUUGAUACAUCUCAAUCUGUGAAUUGACACUGCAUUAGUAAUUAAGAACUUAGAAGGUGAAUCGACAGAAAAGAAGAAUAAGAACAAGAAGAAGGAGCAUUAGUACUAUUUCCUAUAUUCGAUGGUCCUCGAACCUAAUAUGUUAUUACUGAAAAGAUAAAUUUCUGAACCUAACUCACAACAAUUUCCUUCAUUAUUGCUCAUUAUUAUGUUAUUACUGAAAAGAGUAAAUUUCUGAUCACUCUAUUUCUGAGAUGGCUGCCAACUCUUGGUGAAGACGUCUCGCUGGCAUGCGGCCUGCGCUGGUUCUCUUAGGGACAGAGGAGCUAAAAGGAUCAGGAGGCUGUGUUAAGUUUUCUCCUUCAAGCAUUUGGACAACAGUUUUCAUGGAAGGACGCUCUGCUGGGUUCCACUGGAUGCACCAUAGCCCCACAAUUGCUAGUUUCUUCGCAAUUCUAGCAUCUUCUUCUCCAUCGAUAUGAAACCGCAGGUCUUCUUCCUUUUCUAAGAGAUUUCCGGGAAGUAUAUCUGGUCGCCAUUUUCUGCUGUAGCAUCGACGUUCUUCCUUCCUCCAACCAUUUCCAACACUAACAUCCCAAAGCUGUAAACAUCUGAUUUAUAGGAAACAUUCCCGAAGUUCCUCGAGAACACUUCCGGGGCAAUGUAGCCAACAGUCCCCCUAGCAGUCGUCAUGGAAAUGGCACUUUUAUCCUUGGAACACAAACUUAGCCAUCCCAAAAUCGGCGAUUUUGGGAUUGAAUUCGUUGUCAAGCAGGAUAUUCUGUGGUUUGAUAUCAAAAUGGAGGAUUCUUUGAUCACACCCCUGGUGAAGAUAUUCAAUCCCCUUGGCUAUGCCUAAAGCAACACGAUUCAACCUUUCCCAGCCAAGGAAAUGGUUCCUUGAGUCUGCUGAGGAUAUGAACUUCUGUAAAGAAUCAUUUGGCAAGUACUCAUAAACUAGAGCUCGUCUAAAUCCAUCAGCACAGAAACCGAUCAAGCGAACAACAUUGACAUGGUGGAUUCUUGCCAUUGUUCCCACUUCAUUGAUGAAUUCCUCCCCUUUUCCUAUGGAAUUAUUGAGGAGCUUCACAGCUACAGCAAUUUCAUUGGUUAGCUUUCCUUUGAACGCGGUUCCAUAAGCUCCUUGGCCCAAUUCAUCCCUGAAUUGAUUUGUGAUCCUCUUGAGAUCAGCGUAGGAGUAUCUAGUGGGAUUCAGUGAUCUGUAAUCAUCCAAAAAACAUUUCAACCCUGGCUUGAUAUUCUCUUUGUGUUUUAUCGUUGCUAUAGGCGCGGUAGAGUGCAGUAAUCAGUAUGCAAAAAGGAAGAAUCCUAAAAAUCACACCUGCAUAUCAACAUUCUGAGUCAGGCAACUCGUUUUUUUUUCUUUUUUGGGAAAUAAUGUAAAGUUGAGAUGGAGAUUUGAGCAGACUACAAACCAGCAAUCUGUAGCUUUCCGCCGCACAUCUGUAAAGGAUUGAUACUUUAAUAAUUAGCUUCUGCUCCUUUUCCAAUUGGUAAUUGCGAUAAAAUCAUGAAAGCAACAAAAACGAAAAGAGUUUCUAGUGUUUUGUUAUUUACAUAUUCAAAUGCCAAUUAUUAAUUUGAAAAAAGGAAGAAAGAUAGAAAAGCAUACCUUUAGUGUAGCAUUCAUCUUCAGAAGAUCCACAAGUUGGAUUGGACCAAGACAUAGUAAGAACAUAAUUUUCUUCAAGCAACAUACUAUAUGAAAUUCCAUAAAUGUUGUACAUCUUGGUACAAGAUAACAAAUCAGAGUAACUGAUGGGAAUACGUGAGUCAACGGCAUAAACUUCAUGCUUAAAAGUACUCAGACAUGGGAUUUUAUCCAUGUACCUUUUCUGAUCACUAGAAAGUGAACAAUUGAACAAGGUCCAAUCAUUCAGCCAAUCGUUCAUAAUUUGGAAGUGAGAAGCCCCUAAACUGAACUUUAAACGUUGCCUUGGAAAGCAACCUUGAGGAUCCCUUGCAUAAAUAAUUCGAUGUCUAUAGUCAAUUCUUUCGAUGAGGAGACUCCAUCCAGUUGGCAGAUUAAGCACUGUGCCGUUGUCCUCUGAGCAGGAUAGAUCAAACCCAGGAUAUCCACAGUGGUCUGGUUGUUUUUCCUUGAUCCGGAAAGGAAAUCGGAUGUCAGGGCCACGGUUUCCACAUGAUCCUGUGUAAUUCAAGCUUGCUCCAUGGUCUGCAAGGAAGACAAUGAAAAAGAAGAACAAACACGUAACCAUUUCUGAUGAAUACUUCAUCAUCUCCACACUCCUCUUAAGACUUUAUCUGCAUGUUCUGAUAUAGUUUUGGCCGUUCAGAAAACUCAUGUAGUCCUUAGAUCGGUGAGUCCUUUACACUGUAGUACACGCAUCCUUGCAUCCCUCCCUUCGACAUUAAAAAAAAUAUUCAAAAAGACUGUCUGGUUCAGGUAAUUUUGGUCGGUUUUUAUGAUUAAUUUGCUCAUCCCUAAUGAUAGUAAUAGUCUCUCUAUCUACAUAAUGUGAAUUUUAAUUACAUGGUCGCACCCUUAACGCUUAACGCUUAUGCCAGAAGGGACGGGUGCGAGAUUCUCAACAAGAAAUAAUUAACGCUUAACGAUUAACGCUUUGACAAGUUCUUUAACCUUUCAAUCAGUUGGGAAGGGAGGAAAAGUCUUGCUUUGACAAGUUCUUCAACCUCUCAAUCAGUUGGGAAGGGAGGAAAGGAAAGUAAACGGCUCUCUGUUGUUGUCUUGCUACAUAGCUUUUCUUUUUCAGAUAUCAGUAUUUAAAUACUGAUUUAAGUUCUUUUUCAAACACGCUAUCAGUAUUUAAGUACUGAUUUAAGUUCCUCUUCAAACACGCUAUCAGUUAUUUAAGUACAGUUGGACUUCCAAACUUGAAUAUUUUUGUCAUUAGACUAGAGGUUACAAUUGAAUUGUCACUAUCUUUAUCUUGGAAUAUCUCGUGGAUUUGGUCUUUGAUGAGAUGCUCCAACAAUAAUAUCAAGCUCGCUGGAUUUCGUUGUUUGUUGUAUUGUCACUUCAGCCUUCCCCAUGUUUAGAGGAAUGAACGUCCUUUUUGCUUGCUACAUAGCUUUUCUUUUACAGCUAUCAGUCUUCCAAAAUACGUGCAGAUGUUUUACAGAUGAAACCUUUUCCCUUUUUCAUCAGUAGAGCAAGCAUAUGCACAUGUUAGACAAGAGGCUAUACGACAGCAAGUCUUGACCAAUCACAAUACUGAUGGGAUACCAGGGGCUGUCUUGGCCUCUAAAGGUCUCAUGCUAAUCAAUCCUACUCUCAAUAAAACAACCAAGACCCGAACCACCAAAGAUGGAAGAAAAUGUUCCAAUUGUGGCAACCAUAAACACACACGUGAAAACUGUUUCCAGUUACAUGGAUACCCAGAUUGGUGGCAUGAUCUACAGGGCCGUAAACGUCGUGAUGGAGCUGGUACUACUGGGAGUCCAGGCAAAGCUGCGAUUGUUGCUGCUACUGAGCGUAACCUUUCUCUCAUACAGCCAGUUUCAACAUCUAUUGAGGCCCCUCCCCACUUAAACUCGAGUAAUUCUGGUCUUGCCUUACUUACCAGCCACAGUGAUGCGGCGUGUAAUACAUGGCUCCUCGACUUAGGGGUCAUUGGCCAUAUGACAUUUGAUGCCUCAGAUUUCUCUCAUACAUCCUCCCCACGUCGAACCAGCAUCGCCAAUGCAAAUGGUGGUAUUUCACCAGCCACUAGAGCAGGCUCUGUGACUUUAUCUUCAUCUCUGCAUUUAGCCAACACUUUACUUGUUCCAGCAUUAUCACAUAAACUGAUGUAUGUAGGCCAACUUACUACAGACUUGAGGUGUGUUGUGCUGAUGUAUUCAAACUUCUGUCUUAUUCAGGACAUUCUCACCAAGGAGAUAAUUGGGCGUGGUACUAAGAGGGGGGAACUUUAUUAUGUGGACGACAUCAAUAUCGGCCAGGCACAUCACAUGCACCAUCUGCAUACUGCUAAAGAGAGACAGAUCUGGUUAUGGCAUCGUCGCCUAGGACACCCAUCUUUCCAUUACUUGCAGCAUGUUCUUCCGGAUUUAUUUAUGAGUACUCAGAUUUCUGAUUUGAAGUGUGACACUUAUAUUUUGGCUAAAAGCCACCGUGCUACUUACCCAUUAAGCAUGAAUAAGAGUGACACUCCAUGUGCUUUAAUACACUCGGAUGUGUGGGGACCCUCACCGGUUACAAAUAUGUCCGGCAUUCGUUGGUUUGUUAUUUUUGUGGAUGAUUGUACACGUAUGACUUGGCUCUACUUAAUGAAACAGAAAGAUGAGGUUCUCAAUAUCUUCGAAACAUUCCAUGCGAUGGUUUGUACCUAGUAUGGAGCCACUAUUAAGGUUCUCCGCUCCGACAAUGGUGGUGAAUAUGUAAAUAAGCACCUUAAGACUUAUUUCAAUCAUCAUGGUCUCAUUCAUGAAACUUCAUGCCCACGAACACCCCAACAGAACGAUGUUGUAGAGAGAGAAAAAUAAACACAUUCUUGAGACUGCACGUGCUCUGCUUCUUGGCGCUUAUAUGCCUCAACGAUUCUGGACUGAUGCAGUAUCCACUGCUGUUCAUCUUCUCAACCGAAUGCCUUCUAAGGUGUUAUCAUUUCAGACUCCACUUCAAUCCCUUUCUACUCAUGUGCCACUGCCAAAUGCAUUAAUGCUCCCUCCUCGGGUCUUUGGAUGCGUAGCAUAUGUAUACCUUCACAAGAACCAGCGCUCUAAACUUGAUCCAUGUGCACGUCGGUGUCUAUUUCUGGGCUAUGGUAUACAUCAGAAAGGGUAUCAGUGCUAUGACCCUACUGCAUGCAGACUCUAUGUGACUAUGGAUGUUCAAUUCUUAGAAGCUGACAUGUUAUAUUCCCCUUCGGCAUCUACUUCUCCUCUUUAGAGGGAGACACAUAAUAAAGAUGAAGAGGUGAAUUGGUUCCAACAAGAGAAGCUCAAUGAGUAUUGAUUAGUACUUAAAAGUGCAUAUUUAUCAAGGUUUUAUAUCAUCAUUUUGCACUUAAAGUAUCAAUAACUCCUUAACUAAAGCAUGUUUUAUAAUAACAAGUCUAAUACUAUAAAAUGCCCUAAUAUAUGGUAAAUGUUCAUCUUAAAUGCAGGCCUAUCACAUAAAUCAAAGGAUUGAUUGAUGAAUUCAACUACUGAAAUUUGUGAAGAUAAAGAGAGGGUGAAACUUAGAAAAGAGAUGUUGGUGCAGUCCAAACUGGAACACUGUUCGGUAAUUGGGUCAUAUCUCGAGUUCUAGAUGUCCAAAUGACCUCAAUUUUUACACAGAUUCAGUAAGACAUAGGCCUACAACUUUCAUGUUUUCAUCAAGAUCUAAGAAGGCCGUUUUCAAGUCCAAAUUAUAGCAACAACGGAGAAGUCCGAAUCUGUCCUGCAGCCCGAACACUGUUCAGUGUUUGGCCCAUAUCUGGAGUUCUAGAAGUCCAAAUGACCUCCAUUUUUUUUCUGGAAAGCUGAGUCAAUUUCCUACAACUUUCAUGUUUUCUAGUGGACCCAGUUCGGAUGGUAGCAUUUUUGUUUUAUUCAGACAAGAAGAUAAGGAUUUUCACCAAGUCAAAAGUUGGCCACCCACUCAACAAUUAGUCAUCAAAUCAAUAAUUCCGAAUUUUGGCCUAUAAAAGGAGGCAUUUGCCAUGCAUUUGGGGUUGGUUGUUCAGAUCAAGUUCAUGCUCUUUAUUUCUCUCUUUAUAUUUUUUUUGUAAUUCUUAAGUUUUGCUUUCAUUAAUAUCUUGUUUAUGCUUUUCAUUUCCUUUCCUUUCCUUAGUUAACUUGUAUCUUAUUUAUGUUCUUGUUUUGUUUAUUUAUGUUUCUCUUCUUCAUUAUGUUUAGCUAAGUUUAUUAUGUCAAGGUGAAAAGGUUACACUAAUGGUGUAAGAACAAGUAUGGUGUAAACUCAACAUGGACCUUAAUGUUUAAUAUUAACAUGUCUUAUCUUUUUAUCUUACUAAUUCUUAAUACCUUGCUUGUUAAAUGGUUAAUCUAGAUUUGUGUUGUAUAAUACUUGGUACAACAAAUGCUUGGCACUCUCAUAGCCCAACCGUAUGGUAUUACCUACACCUGGGCUAUGAAAGGAACUUGAUUUGUUGUUAACAUCAGUUAACAUCAUGAAUUCCUGACAAUAUUUAAAAGUUUGGUGUUAUGUAAAUAAGAUAAUUAAUAUGAUCAUGUUAAUAAUUUAUAAUGAGCUAUUAAUGAAAAUCAUCCGAUUGGAACCUCCUCGUGUGUGGUUUCCAAAUUGAGUAAUAAGAGUUUAUACUAUACUUGUUUGAAAUACCAUUGGUGGAUCCUCUAACCUUGACAUUUGUUUUUUAUUGUUUAAUCCUUACAUUAAUCUUCCAUCUCAAAGUUCUCAUUAAUUUCUUCCUCCUCUUCUUUUUAUUAUUAUUACUACUACUACUACUACUACUACUACUACUACUACUACUACUAUUAGUAUUAUUAUUAUUAUUACUAUUAAUAUUAUUACUAUUAUUACUAUUAUUAUUAUUAUUUACAUUUUGUUUAUAUUAUAUAAUAUAUAUCUUUGAUCUUUUCAUAAACUCAGUAUAUAGGCUGGAAACCUGUGACCCGAUCUUUUAGAUCAUUCUCGGUAUAACAAUGCACGUACUGAGUAUUAUUAUUAUUAUUAUUAUUUGUUGUUGUUGGUGUUGUGUUGUUUGUUGUUGUUGUAUUGUUAUUUAUAAUUUAUACAAUUAACCUCUCUGUGGUUCGACCCUAGUCUUGCUGAUUAUUUAUUAUUUCGACACUCCUGCACUUGGAAGAAGACAUCAAUCUUUUGGUCGUGUCAAGUAUAAUUGGAUUAGUCAAGAGAACCUACCACAUAAUGUUGAGCUGCUUCACGAGAGGCCAAAUGAUGACCUUGGUGUUGUCCACUGUGACAAUGAUAUACACUCUAAUGGGCAGAUUGAUACCCAUCCUAGCAUGGAACAUAUAUUGUAUGAGACAUAACCUGCACCCCCCCUCUCUAAAGUGCCAGCCGAAUCAUCUCCUGAGAAUACUCCUAAAGUAAGUACUCCUACAACACCUCUGGAUAUCAAUAAUAUAGAUGUCUCUAUGGGAUAUAUCUUACCUCACAAGUACAAUCGGGGCAAGCCACCUAACAGAUACUCUCCAGAGAUUGAAGACCAAAGGUCAAGGUAUCCAAUUGCCAACUAUGUAUCCACCAAGGGUCUUUCUAAACCCCUUCAGAAAUUUACACAGGACCUUUCCAUAUGUCGGAUUCCUACCAAUGUUAAUUAGGCAUUGACAGAUCUGAAAUGGAGCCAAGCGAUAAAUGAGGAAAUGGAGGCAUUACUAAAGAAUAAUACAUGGACUCUUGUCCCAUUACCUGAAGGAAAACGAACAGUAGGUUGUAGAUGGGUGUUCUCUGUUAAACACAAAGCAUAUGGAUUUGUUGACCGAUAUAAAGCAAGAUUAGUGGCAAAGGGAUACACACAAACAUAUGGUGUGGACUAUCAGGAAACUUUCUCACCUGUUGCCAAGCUGAAUACAGUCAGAGUACUACUAUCACUUGCUGCAAAUCUUGACUGGCCUUUACAUCAACUUGAUGUGAAGAAUGCUUUCCUCCAUGGCGAACUCAAAGAGGAGGUGUAUAUGGAGGUUCCUCCAGGUUAUACAACACCUUCCAAGACUGAAAUGGUGUGCAAAUUGCAACGAGCUUUAUACGGACUAAAGCAGUCACCACGAGCAUGGUUCAGAAGAUUCAGUUUAGCAACGAAGAAAUAUGGCUCCCAACAAAGUAACUCUGACCACACUUUGUUCCUCAAGCACAAGCUGGGAAAGGUAACUGCAUUGAUAGUCUAUGUAGAUGACAUAAUUAUAACAGGAGAUGAUGUAGAAGAAAUGUCUCAGCUUCAAAAAAAGUUAGCAACUGAAUUUGAGAUGAAAAAUCUAGGGGGACUAAAGUAUUUUUUAGGAAUUGAAGUUGCCAGGUCUAAGCAAGGUAUAUUCCUCUAUCAAUGAAAGUACAUAUUAGACUUGCUAACAGAAGUAGGAAUGCUGGAAUGCAGACCUGCAGACACACCCAUUGUUCAGAACCACAGACUUGGAGAAUACCUUGACCAAGUACCAACAAAUAAAGGGAGAUAUCAAAGGUUAGUUGGUAAACUCAUUUACCUCUCUCACACUCGGCCAAAUAUUGCAUAUGUGGUAAGUGUUGUGAGCCAAUUCAUGCACAAUCCAAGCAAAAGUCACAUGGAGGCAGUGACUCGGAUUCUCCAGUACCUGAAGUCAUCUCCAGGCAAGGGGCUUAUGUUCUCAAAACAUGAUAAUCAAUUGAAGGUUGAUGGAUAUAUGGAUGCAGAUUGGGCAGGUAAUAUCACUGAUAGAAAAUCAACCUCAGGGUAUUUUACAUUUGUAGAAGGAAAUCUUGUAACCUGGAGAAGUAAGAAGCAAAAAGUGGUAGCAUUGUCAAGUGCUGAAGCUGAGUUUAGAGGAAUGUCUAAAGGUCUCUGUGAACUCCUUUGGCUGAGAAAGCUACUUGCAGAGAUCGGAUUUGCCCCCGCUUCUAAAAUGGACCUCUUCUGCGAUAAUAAGGCAGCUAUUUCCAUUUCCCACAACCCUGUCUAACAUGACCGUACUAAACAUGUGGAGGUAGACCGUCACUUCAUCAAAGAGAAUCUUGAAGCAAAGAUAAUCCGAUUUCCAUUUGUGAAAUCCAAAGAUCAGUUAGCAGAUAUUCUAACAAAAGCAGUGUCUAACAAGGACUUCUACAACUCACUUGGCAAGUUGUGCAUGCGAGACAUCUAUGCACCAACUUGAGGGGAAGUAUUGGCGUGAGCUGUAAUUGCAACUAAUUAGGAAAUUUGUUAGGCAUUCAAAAUAUGUGAAAAUCCCGUUAAUAAGGGAGAUAAAGAUAGCCUAGGAUUGUACUGAUCUUUCUUUCCUUUUAUUCUCUUUUUUGAUGUACAUAUAAAGAAACAGUAUACAGAAUAAAGACUACAACUUUGAUUGUGAAUAAUUGUCAUCCUGUGCAGUUCAAGCUUGCUCCAUGGCCUGCAAGGAAGACAAUGAAAAAGAAGAACAAACACGUAACCAUUUCUGAUGAAUACUUCAUCAUCUCCACACUCCUCUUAAGACUUUAUCUGCAUGUUCUGAUAUAGUUUUGGCCGUUCAGAAAACUCAUGUAGUCCUUAGAUGGGUGAGUCCUUUACACUGUAGUACACGCAUCCUUGCAUCCUCCCUUUGACAUAAAAAAAAUAUUCAAAAAGACUGUCUGGUUCAGGUAAUUUUGGUCGGUUUUUAUGAUUAAUUUGCUCAUCCCUAAUGAUAGUAAUAGUCUCUCUAUCUACAUAAUGUGAAUUUUAAUUACAUGGUGGCACCCUUAACGCUUAACGCUUAUGCCAGAAGGGACGGGUGCGAGAUUCUCAACAAGAAAUAAUUAACGCUUAGCGAUUAACGCUUUGACAAGUUCUUCAACCUUUCAAUCAGUUGGGAAGGGAGGAAAAGUCUUGCUUUGACAAGUUCUUUAACCUCUCAAUCAGUUGGGAAGGGAGGAAAGGAAAGUAAACGGCUCUCUAUUGUUGUCUUGCUACAUAGCUUUUCUUUUUCAGAUAUCAGUAUUUAAAUACUGAUUUAAGUUCUUUUUCAAACACGCUAUCAGUAUUUAAGUACUGAUUUAAGUUCCUCUUCAAACACGCUAUCAGUUAUUUAAGUACAGUUGGACUUCCAAACUUGAAUAUUUUUGUCAUUAGACUAGAGGUUACAAUUGAAUUGUCACUAUCUUUAUCUUGGAAUAUCUCGUGGAUUUGGUCUUUGAUGAGAUGCUCCAACAAUAAUAUCAAGCUCGCUGGAUUUCGUUUUUUGUGGUAUUGUCACUUCAGCCUUCCCCAUGUUUAGAGGAAUGAACGUCCUUUUUGCUUGCUACAUAGCUUUUCUUUUACAGCUAUUAGUCUUCCAAACUUGCCAUUCUAGCAACUUCACUGCUCAUCAUUGUGCUCCUUCUUCAUGCGGCAAUAUCCAAAACAUUAGCUUCCCUUUCAGACUAAACACUGAUCCACAAAUCUGCGGAAACUAUAAUUAUACUCUGAUUUGCGAGAACAAUAUUUCUACAGUAUUAUAUUUGUAUUCAGGUAAAUACUACGUGCAGGCAAUCGACUACGGUAACUUCACAAUCCGAGUGGUAGAUGCUGGUGUACAAGAUAAUUGCUGCUCCAUCCUGUUGGCAUGAGUUGUCCUCUACGAGAUUAAAGGAGAUUAAAGGAGGAAGAUCAAUAGUAUAGUCAUUAAUUGGAAGCUGACGUUAUUUACGUUAUGGAUUCAUUAGCUAAUUAAGCCCAUUCAUGUAUAGCCAUAAUUGAAAGUUCACGUUAUUUACGUUAUGUAACAAUCUGCUAUAUAUAUCCUCUCAUUCAUGUAAAUAAAGAUUGAAAAAAACAGAACAAUUUCUCUCCAUUUUUUCCUCCAUUCUGUCAUGGUAUCAGAGCAUACCGAUCCUUCUUAAUAUCCCACAGAUUCUUCUUGUCUCCUUCUAUGGCUGAGAUGAACCCCAAAAUGAGGAAUCUCUAUCUUCCCAAACUGAGGAAUCUCUAUCUUCCUCCAUCCUAGCCGAAUAACCACGAGAAUGACUGAAGUUUUGAGUAAAGCUUCAGCCCCAACCAAACUUCUGAUGGCGCUACUGCACCAAUCGGCAUCAAGUUGGACGGUACCAACUAUGCACUUUGGUCCCAGGUGGUCGAAAUGUAUAUCUCGGGCAAGGAUAAACUGGAUAUAUAAAUGGCGACUUAUCUCAACCUCCUCAAACAGAUUCUACUUUUCGACGAUGGCGUAUUGACAACGCAAUUGUUAAAGGGUGGCUGAUAAAUUCCAUGCAUCCUUCUCUUGUCAGUAAUUUCAUCCGCUUCCCUACAGCUAAAUUGGUGUGGGAUGCAAUUGCUACUACAUACUUUGAUGGCAGUGACACCUCCCAGGUGUAUGACCUCCGGCGACGUGUGACACGUCUUAAACAAGCUGGUGGUUCACUGGAAAAGUUCUAUAACGAACUGCAAGGCCUCUGGCGUGAAAUCGAUUUUCAUCGUCCAAACCCGAUGGAAUGCCCAACAGAUAUUCAACAGUACAAUUCUCUUAUCCAAGAAGAUCGAGUAUAUGUAUUCUUGGAUGGUCUUGAUGACCAUUUAGAUCAUAUCAGGUGUGAUGUUUUGCAGAUAAAGCCAUUCCCAACAGUGGAACAAGCCUAUGCACACGUUAGGAGAGAAGCUCUUCGUCAAGCAGUAAUGAUCACAGGCGUUGAUGAUUUACCUGGAGCAGGACUGGCAUCCAAGAGUCUCAAACACAGCUCACAUUCUCUGUCUUUCCAUGGUGGCAAAUCUGUUUCCAACUCUAAAUCCCGAGCCACCUCUGAUGGCACUAAAUGCUCUCACUGUGGGGGGACAAAACAUACUCAAGAGACCUGUUUCAAACUUCAUGGGUAUCCCGAUUGGUGGCAUGAGCUCCAGGCUCGGAAGCGCCGUGAUGGAAAUGGUGGCAACGUAGGACAGGCUGCAGUGGCUACAGCAGAACCGCAUCUAUCCCUUAUUCCAGCUGCUAAGAUUAAUGGUGGUACCACUGGACAAGCUGCAGUGGCUGCAGCAGACCCACACUCAGGUAAUGCUCUACUUGGUUCUAAUCAGGAAGCUGAUUGCAAUGACUGGAUACUUGAUUCUGGAGCAACAGACCACAUGACUUUUGAUGCCAGUGAUUUCUCCCAGCAGUCCCCUCCAAGGCGAACUAGCAUUGCAAAUGCUAAUGGAGACAUUUCUUCGGUAACAGGGGCUGGGACAGUAAUGAUAUCACCAGCCCUAUCAUUGUCACAUACAUUACUUGUGCCUUCUUUAUCUCACAAGCUAUUGUCCGUGAGUCAGAUUACUAAAGCCUUGAAUUGUGUUGUGCUCAUUUACCCUAUGUUUUGUCUUAUUCAGGAUAUUCUCACCAAGGAGAUCAUUGGGCGUGGUACUGAAAGGGGGGGCUUUAUUAUAUGGAAGAUAUCAGUAUUGGACGAGCACAUCACAUGCAUCAUUCAAGCGACCUCAAAACUAAACAAAUUUUGCUCUGGCAUCGUCGGUUAGGCCACCCGUCAUUUGGGUAUCUGCAACAUGUGUUUCCUGAUUUAUUUUCGGGUUUGUCGAAUUUGGAUAUUAAAUGUGAGACAUGCAUUUUAACUAAAAGUCAUCGAGUUACUUAUCCAUUGAGUAUGAAUAAGAGUGAUAUCCCGUUUGCCUUGAUUCACUCUGACGUAUGGGGUCCUUCCCCAAAAUCUACUCUGUCUGGUUUUCGCUGGUUUGUGAUAUUUGUUGAUGACUGUACUCGGAUGACUUGGAUUUAUCUGUUGAAACAUAAAAAUGAGGUUUUUCAUGUAUUUAAAUCAUUUCAUAUAAUGAUUCAGACUCAGUUCGCAGCUAAGCUCCAAACUCUUCGAUCAGAUAAUGGUGGCGAGUAUAUGAAUCAACAGUUUCGUAAUUAUUUCCACCAUUAUGGGCUAAUUCAUGAGACCUCAUGCCCCCAGACUCCGCAACAAAAUGGUGUUGCAGAACGCAAGAAUCGCCACAUUCUUGAAACUGCUCGAGCUCUGUUACUUGGAGCUCAUGUACCUAACCACUACUGGGGUGAUGCUAUUACCACGGCUGUCCAUCUCAUUAAUCGCAUGCCUUCAAAAGUUCUUGGGUUUAAAACUCCGCUACAGGCCUUGUCAACCUAUGUGUCAUUACCCACAAUAUUGAUGCUUCCGCCACGGAUCUUUGGUUGCGUUGCGUAUGUUCACCUCCACAAGAAUCAACGCACGAAACUUGAUCCUUGUGCCAUUCGUUGCCUUUUUUUGGGAUAUGCUACACACCAAAAGGGGUACCGAUGCUACGACCCAGUUACUAGGCACUUAUAUGUGACUAUGGAUGUCUCGUUCCUUGAAUCUGACACUUUCUACUCUCCUGCUGCAUCCAAUUCUUCUCUUCAGGGGAGACACAAGUAGAAGAAAUGAAUUGGUUGACAUUUGACUGGUUCAAAGACACUGAUACAACACUGAAUACGACUCAACCUAUCAUCAAUCAGGAAUCUAAUCCAGAGUUGACAUCUUCGGAAGUUGAAGUAACAUCUCCAGAAACAGUAAUAGUACCCCCCACUCUUCAGUAUCCAGUGACCCAUCUCCUAGAAUAUCAUUGAGGUAAGCUCUCCUAUCCCACCUCACAUUCCUGAUGAUAUGGAUACCUGUGUUGGUUAUGAGUUACCUUUCAGGAAAAUCGAGGAAAACCACCAAACAGAUAUUCCCCAGAACUAGAGGAUCAAAGAUCAAGAUAUCCAAUUGCCAAUUAUGUUUCGACAAAGAAACUGUCUGAACCUCUCAAGAACUUUGUGAAUGAACUCUCCUCACAUCAUAUUCCCACGAGUGUUGACGAAGCUUUGGAUGACUCCAGGUGGAUCCAAGCUAUGAAGGAGGAAAUGGAAGCUUUACUAAAAAAUAAAACAUGGACUCUUGUUUCCCUACCAGAAGGUCAAAAAACAGUGGGAUGCAAGUGGGUAUUCUCCAUCAAGUACAAAGCCGAUGGAUCAGUUGAAAGGUACAAAGCAAGGCUAGUGGCAAAGGGCUAUACGCAAACCUAUGGCAUAAUUAUCAAGAAACAUUCUCACCCGUGGCAAAGUUGAGUACUGUUAGAGUUCUACUAUCUCUCGCAGCAAAUCUUGAUUGGCCAUUACACCAGUUUGAUGUUAAAAACGCGUUUUUACAUGGAGAUCUUGAAGAAGAAAUUUACAUGGAUGUCCCUCCAGGAUAUAUGGCAAACUCUGAGGCUAAGAUCGUGUGCAAACUACAAAGAACUUUAUACGGCCUGAAGCAGUCUCCUAGAGCAUGGUUUGGGCGCUUCAACUCAGCAAUGAGGAAAUAUGGCUUCCAACAAAGCAACUCGGAUCAUACUUUAUUCUUAAAACAUUACCGAGGUAAGGUAACAGCUUUGAUAAUUUAUGUAGAUGAUAUGAUCAUUACAGGAGAUGACUCAGAGGAAAUAGCAAGACUUCAAGAACAAUUGGCCACAGAAUUUGAGAUGAAAAAUCUAGGAGGACUCAAAUAUUUUCUGGGAAUUGAAGUUGCUAGGUCAAAGCACGGCAUAUUCCUUUCCCAACAAAAAUAUAUCCUAGAUUUAUUAUCAGAGGUAGGAUUAUUGGAUUGUAAGCCUGCAGAUACACCGAUAAUUCAAAAUCACAGACUAGGAGAAUACCCAGACCAAGUGCCAACAGAUAAAGGAAGGUAUCAGAGAAUAGUAGGAAAACUAAUUUAUCUCUCUCAUACACGGCCGGACAUCGCUUAUGCAGUAAGUGUGGUAAGCCAAUUCAUGCACUGUCCGAGUGAAGAUCAUAUGAAUGCAGUGAUUCGGAUUCUCAGAUACCUAAAAUUCUCUCCUGGAAAAGGACUUAUGUUUACAAGAAACAAUCACUUACGAGUGGAAGGUUACACAGAUGCUGACUGGGCAGGAAAUAUGUCUGAUAGAAAAUCGACUUCAGGUUAUUUCACGUUUGUUGGAGGAAACCUAGUUACUUGGAGAAGUAAGAAGCAAAAGGUGGUAGCAUUAUCAAGUGCUGAAGCUGAGUUUCGUGGGAUGGCUAAAGGCCUUUGUGAACUUCUCUGGCUUCGAAGACUAUUAACUGAAAUUGGCCUCACUCCUAAAGGAGAAAUGAAUCUAUUUUGUGACAACAAAGCUGCAAUUGAUAUCUCUCACAAUCCAGUCCAGCAUGAUCGGACCAAACAUGUGGAAGUAGACCGACACUUCAUCAAACACAAUCUUGAGGCCAAGAUAAUUCGAUUUCCGUUUGUUAAAUCCGAAGAUCAGUUGGCAGAUAUACUUACAAAAGCUGUAUGUAGCAGAAGCUUCUACAACUCACUUGACAAGUUGGGCAUCCGAGAUAUAUAUGCACCAACUUGAGGGGGAGUGUUGGCAUGAGUUGUCCUCUACGAGAUUAAAAGAUUAAAGGAGGAAGAUCAACAGUAUAGUCAUUAAUUGGAAGCUGACGUUAUUUACGUUAUGGAUUCAUUAGCUAAUUAAGCCCAUUCAUGUAUAGCCAUAAUUGAAAGUUCACGUUAUUUACGUUAUGUAACAAUCUGCUAUAUAUAUCCUCUCAUUCAUGUAAAUAAAGGAUUGAAAAAACAGAACAAAUUUCUCUCCAUUUUUCCUCCAUUCUGUCACAUCCCUCGUUAUUCUUUGGCACCUGAUGACUUCAGUGACGGAGAUCCAUACACAUGGUAUAACUACAAGGAGGUGCCGCGGCCGGGAGUGAGUGAAAGUUUCGUGUACUACUGGGGCCACUGGUUCUUACCUCCACUAUCACUGCCUAUGGUUUUCAUGAGCUGUGAAAAUAUGGUGAAUUCUCCUCUUUAUGUGGACACGGCUCCCUACGGCCUUAACUACGGAUCAGUAAAUUAUUCCAACUCUUCUCUUGUGACUCAUUCGAAUUAUGUGACUCUUGGGGGCAUGACUGCCUCGGAUUUGAUGGAACUGUGCAGCAUAGAGAAAAUAUUUUUGCUUCCAAAGAAGAACUACACAGACAAGUCCUUCGAAGAAAUACACAGUGACCUGGCAUAUGGGUUUGAGCUUUCAUGGUACAACAUCUACUGUGGAAAAUGCAGAAGUGGUUGCUACCUCGACAGGGCAGACCGUCGUCGAUGCAUUAGCAGCUGUAUGUAACACUUGAUGAUUAAGUUGCUUCAGAUUUGAUUCAUAAGACUAUAAAUAACUUGACCAUGGAUAUACAUUAAUUAGUUGUGUGCGCUCUUUUCUAUUUUCUUUCGCAUUUACUCGUUUCUUAACCUAAAGCUUCAACAGAUUAUGAUCAAAGCUAUUGGCAAAUUAUACUCUACAUAAUGACGACAGGUGCGAAUUCUUUUUCUACGUCUCACCAUGUUCGUGUUUUCUUACGUGUUUCUUUAAACUGUUAAAAAUAUUUGAACUACAAGACUUGGACUUCGACUUACAAUAUUCUUAAUAUAUAUUUAUAUUAGUUUAGGAUAAUUCAAGAGACUUAAAAGAUAAAUACAUAUUUAAUAGUUACAUACAUAUAUUUAGGAGACAUCUAGCAGAAUUAAAAAACACUUUGAAUAUAAACUUCAAAAUUAAUUCCAACAUAAACGACGACAUAUUUGUGAAAUAAGGAUUGUUGUUUCUUGAAUAGUAAUUGUAAUUUUGUUCACCAUUUUCUGCAGGUUCCCUCAUCUAUUUAUUUGGUAAGGGAUUCCAUCAUUUCUUUAGUUUCGCAACAAAUUUCUAGUGAAGACAACAAAUAAGAUCACAAAACUUGAUUGUUUUCUGGAAAUUUCCUACACAGUACUACAUAAUGGGCUAAAAGUUGUUUGUGGGACUCCAUGUGUGAUUAUAUUUUUGAUCUAUAAAUGGAGAAGGAGACAUUUAUCAGUAUACGAUACAGUCGAACAAUUCCUACAGAGUCAGAAUAACCUGAUGCCAGUAAGGUAUUCCUACUCAGAUAUCAAGAAGAUUACUAGAGGUUUCAAGGACAAAUUGGGUGAAGGAGGCUUUGGUACAGUUUACAAAGGAAAGCUUCGCAGUGGCGUUUUGCAGCAGUAAAAUUGUUGGGAAAAUCGAAAGCUAAUGGACAGGAUUUCAUAAAUGAAGUUGCUACAAUAGGAAGGAUUCACCAUACUAAUGUGGUGCAGCUAAUUGGUUUUUGCGCUGAAGGAUCAAAGCGAGCUCUUGUAUAUGAUUUCAUGCCUAAUGGAUCUCUUGAUAGACAUUUGUUUUCUCGAGAAGGAUCAAUCUCUUUAAGCUGGUAAAAACUGCAUCAGAUUUCCCUUGGAGUGGCUCGUGGUAUCGACUAUCUUCAUUUAGGUUGUGACAUGCAAAUACUUCAUUUUGAUAUCAAACCUCACAACAUUCUUCUUGACGAAAAUUUAACUCCAAAAGUCUCUGACUUCGGGCUAGCUAGGUUGUACCCAACGAAUGGCAGCAUCACAUCUCUUACUGCAGCAAGGGGCACCAUAGGUUACAUGGCUCCUGAAUUGUUCUACAAAAACAUUGGACGUGUCUCCUAUAAAGCUGAUGUUUAUAGCUUUGGAAUGCUGCUAUUGGAAAUGGCAGGCAAAAGGAAAAAUGUAAACGCGUUGGCAGAAAAUUCAAGUCAAAUCUACUGGCCAUAUUGGGUUCAUGACCAAGUAUCUGAUGGAAAGGCCAUAGAAAUCGGAGACGAUGCCACGGAGGAAGAACGUAAGAUCGUCAAGAAGAUGAUUAUGGUUGGAUUGUGGUGUAUACAAAUGAAACCUAUGGAGCGGCCUACAAUGAAGAAUGUUGUGGAGAUGCUUGAAGGAGAUUUGGAAAACUUGCAAUUGCCUCCUAAGCCUGUCUUCAAUCUAGAUGUGACGCCACCAAACAUUGAAGGAGAGUCAUCAUCGUUGUCAGGUGAUUCUACCGAAGCAACCAGUUUGGUUGAAAAUGCAUACUGAGUGAUAUGAUGUGGAAUGCUCUGCUUACAUGCAGGGAAAAUGAUAGAAUAAUGGUGCUUUCGGACUUGGUUAUGAUGAUUUGGUCUGCAAACAUUAUGAUAAUUUGAAGUCCUUCCUUUUAUCUGAUUUGUGUUUAGCUAAUUUAGAGUUCAAGCUGCGGUUUGUUUCUUCGGUGUGGUCUAUAUAAUAAUCAUACAAAGAUGUUAUGUAUUGUGUUUAACAAUCAGAUUACUGUUACAGAAGUAUGAAGUAUGAAGUAUUAUCCUUAUUCUAUUAUCUAGGCUGACUAGCAGCCCUUUCCCCUGAUCGAGGCUGACUAGCAGCCCAUACCUAUACUAAUAUGAUUUAACUCAAGACUUUUUAAAUUCUCUAGAUUGUCAUCAAUUAGGGUUGUUGAUGGUGGUUGAUUGUUGAACUGCUGAGAAAAAAAAACUAUGAGAGGCUAGGGUAAAUGCUGUAUGUGGCAAGUGGCUAGUGUUGAGAGAGACAAAGAACAUUUAUCUUUACACUAACACUCAUCUCUCCGGAACACAAAAGGGACUUGCCUCUUUAUUUGGAGGACUCUAAAGAACAUUGAGAGAACCCUUAUUUUUACACUACACACAACGUGCAAAACACCUCUUUCAUCUUCUUCAUCUUUUUACCUACUUAUUUAUUUAGAAAUCAAACUAAAAAAACUAACUUGAGCAUUAAUAGAGGAUUUCCAAAAUGAAAUAGUUGGGGACUAGAUAAUUGCCUUGCAUUAUAUUUGAUCAAUUUUUCUAACAUAAAAAAUUAUUUAGACAUUGCUAAUGUUUUUUUUUAAUGGCACUUUAAACUUUGUGAGGUUGACUUGAGAUGACCUGAUCUACUUGACAGGUCUAAAAACAAUCUAGACGGUUAAUAAAAAUAUAAUUUAACUUAAAAUAAAUAUUCAAGAUGAUUUAUUAAGACAUCGACAUAUUAGAUCGAUUUUGAUCAAUUUAAGUUAACUUGUUUAUCUGGUCAUGAAAUCACAAUAAUUUCAUAGAAAGAAAAUCAAAACAAAUUAUGAAGUGUAAGUUCCAACAAACUCAAUGUUAAUUAAUGAAAUUAAAAAAUAAAAUUAAUUAAAAAAAGAAUAAAAAAUUGAAAAAUUCAUCCUCUCAAAAAAAGGAUGAAUUUCAAACAGAUCAAACAGAAUGCGUUUUCUGUCAAGAAGUAUAAAACAUAAUGAAAUUUUAUCUCUACAGUAAUAGAACUUGAUGCAAGAGGAAGGAAAUGACAGGAGUAAAGAAAGAUGGGAGAGCGAAAUGAAGUCUCUUAGCCCCUAUUUAUAUAGGAAGCCAAUGGGUGUGAAAUUAAUUUGAAUUAAUUCGUAACAAUUCAUUGUAUUUGCAGAAUUAAUGAAUUUGAAAAGAUUUAAUGAAACUGAUCAAACAUUAAAGAAAUAAUUUAAUAGAUAUAAUAAAAAUAGUUGUAUCAAUUUUUUAUUCGUCCAUGAUUGAUUUUAAACAUGUUAACAUUCAAGAUAUACAAAGAUGUAAAUAAAUUGAUAGAUCACUAAAUUAAUUAGUACAAGUAGAUUUUGGUUUUAGACAUUUUAUAAUAAAAUAAUAUCAAAUUUAUUUGGCUAAUUAAUUAAUUUAAUGUUUUAAACUAAUCCACUGUUCAUAUAUGUCAUAACCCAAUUUUUUAUUUUUAUUUUUUUUAUUUUUAUCUUUAUAAAUUAAAAAAAAUAAAGUGGAAAAAUUGGAAUGAAUGAAGAAAAAUUAAGGUUUAGAUCAAGACAAUACAAAUGAGAAGUUUUUGAGGAUCAAUCAGGGAGGAAUUGUAAAUUUGAGGUUUAUUUUUGCUUGAAAUUGGAAGAAUCAAUGAAUUUGAGGAUUUAAUUAAGCUUAAAAUUAGUUUAAUUAACAAAAUCAUGAGCUUAAUUGAAGAAAUAUUAAAAAUAGCUGAUUUAGGUCUAAAUUGCAAGAAAUAAAGUUCAAGGACCGUUGUGCAAAAGGCACCGCAAUGCAGGGGUCUACUUAAAAUUUAGCCCAGGGGUCCGUUUAAAACAUGUUAAAACCUCGAGGACUAAAUUGAAAAAGGCCGCCCCAAUCUAGAAACGGCGCUGUUUUUCAAUUCCAUUCAUCGUCUUCUUCCUCUGGAAGCAGAGGAGACCCCCUGCAAAGGAAAAUAUCAAUCGCCGCACACAUGCCAAAUUCAAGACCGCAUUGUCUACCCACGGAACCCAUGGGAUUUGGUUGGUCUCCCUCACCCUCAUAACUCUCCCCUGACGCGAGGAUAAGCACCACCAAUAAUCCAGCAACGGCAGGACUGUUGGUGUUUCCAUUCUACCCAAACACGGAGCCAAUUCACUCUACACAAGAUGACGAUCACAGGGAAUAUAAGGAUAAGAAUCCCUCUCAAGGUCUGACUCUAUAAAAGUGGGAGAGAAGGAAGAACAGGGGAUCGAAAAAGAGAGACGAUACAGAGAUAAAAACCAAAAAAUAAAAUAAAAAGAAUAGAGAGCAGAAGGGAGGAGAGGACUAGGUCUUGAGAAAGCAAAAACAUAAAAGACAAAAAAGAGAAGCCGAGGAAAAGAAAGGGCGUCCGAGGAGUGCUUCAUCCAGCACCUGCAUUUUGCCGCUCAAGGUCGCUGCAAAAACAGGCAAGUCACUUUCAAUUCUCCCCCUCUCUGCAAUUUAAUUACUCUGCUUUUGUAGUAAGCGUGCGCGAACAAUUCAAUAAAAAUUACAAUAGUUGAUUUAGAUUUUUUUUUAAUUUUUUUUUAAUUAAAUUUUUUAAUAUUGAUUUAAUUGAAAAUUAAAUUUUAUGAUUUGUUUUGUUUACUUUUUAUUAAGUUAUCUUUAUCUUAUGACCCGAGAAUUAACUAUAAAUUAAAAGAGGAUGGGAUUUUACUCAUAGUUUUAAGACCCGGCCCGGUCGUCGGCCCGGUCCAAGCCCCGGAUUCCGGGUUUUGACCGGGUCAUUGGGUCUUGACCGGGUCGCCGGGUCAAAAAAAAAAUUUAAUUUUUUUUAAAAAAAAUCAAAACGACGUCGUUUUAGCAAAAAAAACAAAAAAAUAAAAGUCAACGGGUUUGUGCCCGGGUCUUGCCGGGUCAACAAGGUCCCGGGUCGCCCGGGUCUGGCCGGGCCAAUUCCCAAGCGGGUUUUGACCUUCACCAGGACCGGUCCCAUGCCUGGGUCGACCGGGUCCCGGGUCAACCCGUCGGGCCAGUCCGGGUUUUAAAACUAUGGUUUUACUGUACCCCUCCUUACAAAACACUAUUUAUUGGAAUAAUGUUUUGCUUUGCUCUUUUCUUUUUUUUUCCUUUCUUUGAUUGUUUUUUUCAAUCAAUUUUUCUUGUUUAAUUUUUCUUUUAAUAUUAGAUUUUUUUUCUAUUUAGUUAUCACACUCUAAUGACAUGGAUCUCAGGUUUGAUGGGUUAAUCUGGUUUGGCCGGUUAAUUUGGUUUGGCGGGUUAACUUGGUUGGCUUAUAUUUUUUUCUUUUUCUAUUUUAUUUUAAUUUCAUCAUUUCAUAUUGAUUUGAUUGAGAUUUAAAUUUCAUGAAUUGUUUUGUUUACUUCUUAUUAGGUUAUCAUGGUCUUAUAACUCGACAAUAGUGUUAACAAGUUAAUCUGAGUUGACUCGAGGUGUUUUUUGUGUUUUUUAUUUAAUUGAUUUUUUUAAUUUUAUCAUUUAAUAUUAGGUCAAUGGGGAAUUGAGUUUCAUAAUCUGUUUUGAUUUGCUUUCUUAUGAGAAUAUCUUGGUCUCACGAUCAAGAUAACGAGUGUUGAUAUUUUAACCCUAGUUAAAACAAGUUAUUUUUUCUUUUUAUUUUUUUUCCAAGAUGUUAUAUUGGUCUCAUGACCUGGGUCACAUGUCUUUCAACAUUAGACUUGCUUUUUAUUGGGUUGUUCCUGUCUUAUGACCCGAGUCGCAAAUUUGACGGGUUAACCUAAUUGAUUCAUUUUCUCUCUCUCUCUCUUUUAAUUGAUUUUUUUUUCAAUUUCAUCAAUUAAUAUUAUGUUUGAUUGAUAAUUGGACUUCAUGAUUUGUUUCGGUUUAUUUUUUAUUAGGUUAUCUUGGUCUUAUGACCUAAGAAUAAUGCUUAAUAGUUAACUCGAGUUGACUUGGUUUAUUUUUUAUGUUAUUUUUUUAAUUAAUAUUUUUAAAAUUUUCAUUGUUUAAUAUUAGUUUAAUGCGGGUGAUUUAGAAUCGAGCCUUAUAAGUUAUUUUGAUUUUCUCUCUAUGGGGUUAUCCUAGUCUCAAGACCAAAGUCACAGAUUUGACAAGUUAACCUAAGUUAAAUUCAAUUAUUAUUUUUUUAUUUUUUUCUAUAAGGUUAUCUUGGUCCAUUGAACCGAUUUAUGAGUUUGAUGGAUUGACUCAGGUUGUUUUUUAUAAUAUUUUUUAAUUGAUUUUUUAAAUCUCAUCCUUUAUAUAUGAAGUUUGAAUGGAUUGAUUCAGAUUGGGGAUUGAAAUUCAUUUUUUGUUUCGAAUUGUUUUUCAUGGGGUUAUCUUGGUCUUAUGAUCUGGGUUGCAAGUUUGAUUUGUAAACUCAUGUUAUUUUUUAGUUCUUUUUUUAAUUGAUUUUUUUUUUCAAUUUCAUCCUUUAUUAUUGGGUUGAUUGAAAAUUAGGCUUCAUAACUUAUUUUAAUUUGCUUUCUAUAGGCUUAUCAUAGUUUCAUUAUAAACCGGGUCAUGAAUUUGACAUGUUAACCCGAGUUGUCUCAGGUCAAUCCAAUAUGUUGUUGUUUUAAUAUUAGAAAAAAAUAUUAUCUUGAAAUUUUAUUUCGUCAAAUAUUGUUUUCAUGAGUUGUAUGAGUUGUUUUUUGACCAAUAAAAUCAAUCGGGUUAUAUUAGAAAAACCCCACACAAUUUAAUUUUUUUUCAGAAAAAAAUAUUAACAACAGUUGAAUAUUUGUCUUUAUAUUCAAGAAAAAAAUGAUUUUACCCACAGGUUAAAGUUUAUUACUAGUUAUUUUGGGAGGCUCGAAAUUUUGCUAGAUGUGCAGACUAUUUCCUUAAUAUUAAUGAUUGAUCACAAAGAUAACUUAUGUCCAGUCAUGAGCUGCUAAAAUUUGAACUGCCAUGGUUUAUAAUUAUUUUUUUGGAGAUGUGAAAGUAUGAAUCCUGACCAGUUGCAGUGACAAACUACUGUUUGUUGGGAGAAAUGGCAAAUUAGUGCUAGCCAUAUUUACUUGAAUAAUUCUUGAACUUUUCUUGGGCCAUCUAACAUUUUAUUUAUGAUAGAUUUUCUAAAAUUUAUUUAUGCUGCCUUCUGUCUUAAGGAAUUUGACAAGAAAUGAUCGGUAGAAAUUUAUAAAAAUUUUACAUUUUACUUUUUAAAUUUUGAUUUUUGAUUUAAAUAGAUAUUAUUAAACUUGACUGGAUACAUCAACUAGGAAUCUAGUCGUUUUCUUCUAAAACUUGACUUAAAUUAGGUUAAAUAAGAGAUUUUGUAACUCGUGAUCCUAUCAUUUUGAUUAAAAUUUAAUUUGAUUAUUAAAGUUGCUUUUCUUAAAGCAAUGACAUUUUAUUUAAAAAAAAAAAAAUUUAAAUAGUGAACUAAUAUUAUUAUGAAUUCACCGAGUAAACUUUAGUUUAAACUUGAAAAUCUUGAAACAAUUAACUUGAAACUUUGGAUUGAGCCUUUUGAGACCGUGAUCUUGGAUUGGUGGAGUGAUGGGCUUGCCCACAAGUCUUGUGGGUUGAUGGAUAACUUUCAUAAACUUGCAUGUAAAACAAGUUAUUUUUAUCAGAAUUCAGGGUCCUUUUAUUCUUAUGUUAGUAAACAUAGAAAGAGUAAUUUAUAAGAAAGAAAAGAAAAUGAAAAAUAUAGAGAGUUUGUAAAUCGGUGAAGCUGAUGAAUAAACUUGGAUUAUCUAAAUAUUUAAUUAAUAAUUCAAGAUAUUUAUAUACCUCACUUACAUAAUUUCACCUGUGAAGUGUGAUGUAGUAAGAAAGAGUAUCUAAAAAUUCAAGUUGUUUGUUAUUGAAUUUUGUCAUGUUAUUAAUGAAAAAAUUACUCGUUUUAUGGUGCUCUCUAAGUAGGAGAGUUUAUUAAAUUCAUUAGAGCUAAUUACCUGUAUAUUAUAUAUAUUUUUUAUUUUUUAAAAAAAUAUUUAUCUCUACUUAAUAAUUUUUAUUCUAAAAAAACAUAUAUGACAAGUCACCUAACCUAACUAGUCUUAACUAUCAACAUAUCAUCUUAUCCCAUCUCAUGUCACGUAUCAUCUUAUCCUUCACUCUGAUGCAACCUGUGAUCAAUAAUUUAAUAUUUCAGUGCUUUGUGACAUCAACAAUGUCAUGUUACUGAUUGAAACAUUGGUCCACCACCUUUAAUUUCUUUCAUGGCAAGACUUUCCCCCCUAUGCGCAUUUAAAGUAGGUCAGACUACUAUAUGUUAAAUAAUAUUUAUGUAAUUUUAUUUAUUAAAGGUAGAAUAAUUUUUUUAAUUUAAUUAUAAUUUUUUUAGUUUAAUUAAUAUAUAUUUUAUUUAUAUUUAGAUUAGAAUUAUGCACUCAUAAUAUACAGAUUAUUUAAAAUUUUAAUUUUAUUUUUAUAUUUGAUCUUAAUUAUUUCCACUGAAUUGCCUAAAUAUGAUGAAUAAAGGGUUGGAUUUGCAAAAUUAUUUACACAUUUUAAUUUGUUGAUCGCCAUUUUCUACUGUAUCAUCGACGUUCUUCCUUCCUCCAACCAUUUCCAGCACUAACAUACCAAAGCUGUAAACAUGUGAUUUACAGGAAACAUUCCCGAAGUUCCUCGAAAACACUUUUAUCCUUGGAACACGUUUAUUUUUAUAUUGAAUCAUUACUUUUUUCCCGUUUUAUUUAUUGUAAAAAUAAAAAUAUAGUUCCAUAAUAUUUAUAAUUAUUCUAUUCUCAUUGAAUCAUGGUAAAAAUAAUUGGCCCGUGGCGCGACAUCCUAAGUAGUCUUAUCUAUAAACAUAUCAUGUUAUGCCACGUACUCAUUUAAAGCUUGACACAUUGGUCAAUUAUUUUAUACUGAUUGGGACGUUUAAGAGCCGGUCAAUUAUUUUAUAUUUCAGUGUUUUGUGACAUUAACAAUGAAGUUACUGAUUGAAAUAUUAUUUGUAAUUUGUUUUUAUGAUUUAAAAAUAUUUUUAAAAUUUUAAAAUUUAUUUUUUUUACUUCAAAUUAAUAUAUAUUUUAAUAUUUUUAAAUUAUUUUAAUGCACUAAUAUUAAAAAUAAUUUUUAAAAACUAAAAAAAUAUAUAUUAUUUUACUAUAUUUUUAAAUAAAAUAUUUUAAAAAAUAAUUAUAAUCAAACUUUCAAAUAAACUCAUAUAGUUGCUUUCAUGACAAAGACAUUUCACCGUGCCGCACUCAAGUUAAUGAUGAAGAAUUGUAGGGUUCUUGGUAAUUACGCGUCAAUGAGUUGUUUGUGUCCCCAACAUUGGAGGUGCCAUCAUAUUUUAUUUCUUUUUCUUUUUUAAAGAUGUGAGCACGAUAACAUGUGAUUAUUGAAUUGUCGCUGCUGUUUCCUUAUUAUUUUUGAUAUUUUAUUUUUAUUUUUAUUUUUAUUUUUAUAUUUUAUAUCAAGAUUUUAUUUAUUUUCAGUUUUAUUUUUUAAUUAUAAUUUUUUAUAUUUUUUAUUUCAGUUUUUAUUCUAUUAAUUUUAAUUUUUUAUUUGAUACUUUUAUUUAAAAUUUUAAUCGCUUUCAAUAAAGUUUGUCGGUGGUCAGACACACCGACGCAACCUGUGGUUCAACGACAAAAAUAUAUGGUCUUUCUUUUCUGUUUUUUUCCGUGAUCCGCUACCUUUAAUUUCUUUCAUAGCUGAUCUUUCCCCCAUGCUUACUCAGGUCCAUAAAGUUUGGCUUUUCCCUUUUUCGUAAAAAUACAUAUUUCAUCUUAGAAAAAGAUAAAAAAAAAAUAAUAAAGCAUGCAUUUGAGGUAUUUUUUUUUUCUUUUACACUGAUCAUUUUGUAAUUAUCAUGAUAAUGAGGGAUAUUUAUGUAUUUUUACAUUGAAAUUUUAGUUUUUUAAUUAAAAAAAUUGAUGGCAUGUAUACAUGAUGCACCAAUGAGUUGGUGGGGUCUAUACCAUUUGAAUGACGUGUGUGAUAUUUUUUUGUAGCCGAACUUGACGUUCCAACGUCUCUUUAAAAGUGACAUCAAGUUCUACUUUUUAUAGUGUGGCACGUGAUGAUAUAUGGUUGUCGGAUUGUCCUUUUAUUUUUUGUAUUUUAAUUUUAGUUUUAAUUUUUUAAUUUUGUUCUUAUUCUUUAUAUAAUGAUUUUAUUUAUUUUUAAUUUAAUAUUUUAAUUAUAAUUUGUUAUAUGUUUUUUUUUAUUUCAUUUCAAUCUUUUAUUUUUUUUAUUAAAAUAUUUUUUGAUUUCAAUAAAAAUUUUAAGUGGUAAGACACUCCGCAGCAACCUGUGCUUCAACGAUAAAAAAAUAUGAGUUCUUUUUUUCUUUUGUCAUUGGUUCUCGAGCCACAAAACAAAGAAUCUUUUUCCUUAUGGAAGCAUUGGUCCACCACUCUUAAAUUAUUUCACAGCAAGACUUUUCCCGCAUGCACCCUCAGGUCAAAGAUGAAGAAUAUUUGUAGGGUUCUUGGUUAUUCCUUCUUGUCGAGAAGCUUGUGCCUUGUAGCAAUCUUUCACGGUAUUACAAGGAUGAAAGAAGAAGGAUUAAUGCCAACCUAUUCAUCUCGUUGUUGAUCAACAAGGAAGGAACUUGAUAGAAAUAGACCCUUGAUAUUACUAUCCUAUCCAUCAAAAUCCUUCUAUCCUCCCUGCAAUUCCUUCCAAAUUAUGAGUUACAUUGAUUUUCUUCGCAAUUGAAGUAAGUUAGACAGGAUUGCCUAAAUAUGAUGAAUUAAUAAAUGGUUGGAUUUGCAAAAUUAUUUACACAGUUUAAUUUGUUGUUUUGAUACAUCUCAAACAUAUUAGACCGAUAAGUUUACACAUAAUCCAUGAACGUAUCUCACAGGUCACAACAAUUUCCUUCGUUAUUGCUCACUAAUAUUUAUUACUGAAAAGAGUAACUUAACAGUGGUCUCUAGGGUCUUUUCUAGAUGUUUUGGGGCAGUUUAUUGGGGUUUUUUGUGGCCAUAAAUUAACUUUAAGUGAUGCCUAAUCCUUUGAUCUCCCACCAACAAUCUUUUAGCAAUAUUUUGUUGAAAACGUGUACCUCUGAUCUUACAGUUUUGUUCUUAGUUUUAUUGUCUUUAUUUGUAUUCUAUCAUUUGAGUUUUCAGACUAGUAGGUAAACAUAAAUGCUUCUAGCAACAAUUUCUCUAAGUUUUUUUUUUUAUUGAAUCUAUGAAGAGAAUUUCAAGAAUUUAAUUACAAAUUUAUAUAAACUCUUGUAUUAAAACAAUCAAAUUAUAUAAAAUUAAUUUUGUUAUUAAUACUGUGUUGAACUCAGAAUUUGUGAUCUAAAUGGUUAAUUUGACCAUGGUUUUGAAGAGUUUUUUUACCUUUUUUGAUCCAUAAAAUCCAUAUAUCCAUAAAAUCUUCUAAAUGAAUAAAAAAAGAAAAGAAAAGAAAAGAGAAGAGAAGAGAGGAGAAGAAAGAAAGCUAAGCCUUACAACUGGAAGAGACAUUAUCUGCACUGGCGUUGUAGACUGUCGAAAUUCUGAAAUGUUAAUUUCUAUGUAGGAGGUAAAUAGCAUAAAUAAAUAGCAUGACAUCAUACCUUUACUAGGAGGUAAAGGUUCCAAUACCACAAAUAAACAACAAAAGUAUAAACAAAAAGUAAAUUUAAAAUUUUUUAAAAUAUUUUUGAACCAGAAAUACAGACAGUUAGUAUUGCAUUGACAUGGUCUAGAUGAUGACUUGCCAAAAUAAUUUUCAAUUGUCGAUGCUCCAUAGAGUGUUUAAGGCACAAGCCACUCUCUCCCAGUGAAGCAAUGAUUUUUAGUCCAAGUUAUCAUGUGCGUGCUUGAAGUUUUUUUGUCCCGUAAUUGCAGCAAAAUUUGAAUUUUGCACCUAAAACGAUCGAUAGCAAAAACAAUCUGUAAUUUUUCUUGCAAAGAUCUGUAAAGUAAUUAUAAGAUCUGGACUUGGAUUUAGAACUAGAAAAAUCUUCUAAAUGAAUAAUAGAAAAGAAAAGAGAAGAGAAGAGAAGAGAAGAAAGAAAGCUAAGCUUUACAACUGGAAAAAACAUUAUCAGCACUGGAUAAAUAUGAAAUGUUUAAGUUAAGUUGAUGCUGAAAUUCUGAAAUGUUUAUUUCUAUCACUCCUUACAUAAAUUGCGUGACGUCAUACCUUACUAUGAGGUAAAGGUUCCAAUACCAAAAUACAAAACAAUCCCUAGAAAUCAUAAAAUCCUAAUUUCAUCCCCGGAAUAAUAGCAAAGACUAGAAAUCAUGGAACAUGCUCAACUGUGUUCAACAAACUUUCAGGAUCUACUUCAAUUUUCUUAAGAGAACGGGAAAUAGUGAUCGGGAUCCUCGUUAGCUGCGGGCAAUCACCCACAGUAAUUUCUUCGAGAGAAUCGCAAAGAAGUCUUCCAGAAUAAAUGCUAUUCAAAUUUGGUAAUUUCUUCAAUACCAAAACCCUCAAUUUAUCAAAUCUACGAAAAGGAGAGGAAUGCUCAUCACUUCCCAUUAUCUCCUGCAUGUUGUAACAAUCUUCGACUACAAUCACUUCCAAUCGGGCAGUGAGACAACAACCAAGGAGGGAGCAGCACCUUCAUCCUAUGACAUUUAUGUAUCACCAUCUCUCUGAGAUUGAAAAAGACUACUUCUGAAGGGCUUCAAAAAGGUUUCUAAGAUUAUCAAACCAUCAAGGUGUAGAAUCUCAAGCCUCCUCCAAAUACAUAUGAUGGACAUAAGCUUCUCAUGUUUUGACAACUCACAAAAACUACUUUUGUAAUGAAGCACGGGGGCAGAGAUUGCAUUGUCAAUCAUGAGGUCAUAAAACCAAGCCUCUUUAAUUAACCCUGACUUCGAUCUUGUAUAAUUUAGAUCUUCGAGUGAAGAGAAACAAGGUCGUCCUACAGUAACCUUGCAUGCAAUUAGUGAAAAUCUCCGUCCACGACGGAAAUAUCCGAAAUCAUCUAGAUCACGGAAGUUGCAUUCCAAAGUUUCCAAAUCAUAUAAUCUGGAAACUUCAUCUCCUCUAACUGAGAGAACAACUUCAGAUUUCUGAUGAAGCUUGAGGAACUGUAAUUUUGAGAGUUGGGGUAAAAUACCCGACCGUAAAACACGCACCCCACUUCCAUCAAGAUUAAGAUACCUGAGAUCCUUCAGCCUUUCCAUUCCCUCGGGCAAAUCUUCAAGUCCAGUGUAACUGAGAUCCAACUUCUCCAAUGCCUUAAGCUUUGCUAAUGAUGGUACAUAACUCAGCUUUGCACACCAUCCCAGCAACAAUGCAGUGAGUCUCGUCAGAUGAGAAAUAGAAUCCGGCAACUUCUCUAUAUCUGUGUCGGAAAGAUCAAGAACCUUGAGUCCGAUGAGGUGCUGGAAAAAAGAAUCCUCACCAAAUUCAAUUUGUAGUUUCUGCAUAACAAUAAUGUUGAGAGACGGGGGCACAUUGGUGAAAAGCCUGUUGGAAUAUUCUCGAUUCUAUUUUCCAUGAGUGAAACUCUUAACAGAUCCUCUCUCCACAAUCUUACACCGGGUAAUUCUGUUAGCUGUGCACCUGCUUGAACCAUAGCCCCCCACUUUCGUUCAAUAUUUUCCAAGCCAUAUCCCAAAUCAAAUCAUGCAUCUUGACAUAUCUGUAAUCUUCAUCGUCCCUGGAACCUUCUAAUAAGCUGGCAUCUUCAAGUUGAUCAAGCAUGGUAUGGCCCCUAUCAAAUCGUGCAUGCCUUCCCCAUUUCUUUGACUAUACCCUCGUCAAUCAAAUACUCUAUCAAGUCCUCUCUCAAGAUGAUCUUGCCUUUUGGAAAUAGUGUGAUAUGUAAGAAGCACUCUUGAAGUGCUGAAUCGUUCAACUGGCAUAGCUAAAUUCAACUCGAAAUACAUUGGCUUCCAUCUCACCUGGUCCAACUUCUAAUCUUCUCAGUUUUAGCAAUGCAUCUCUCCAACGAUAUUCACAUCCACUCCCUUCAUGCUUCGAGCCAUUGUCAUGAUUCCAAGGGCAAACCAGCACACUCCUUCACAAUAGACUCUGCGAUCUCAGGAUAGGUGCACCACCACGCCCUAAUCUGUCUUGAACAGAUCCCAAGCCUCACCCUCAGAAAGAGGCUCCACUUUGAUUAUCCUUUGGCAAUCCAUUUUUCGACAUAUCUCCGUGAUCUCGUUGUGAGAAUCAACUUCCACCCGUCUGUUCUAAGAGGUAUUCCCACUUCAUCAGGAAGAAAAUGACCCCACAAAUUAUCAAGAAUUAAAAAACCUUUUUUUUUCACAUUCAACUCUGUCAACAGCUCCCCAGUUCUCACCAUCGCAUCAUUUUCAUCCAAAGGUUUUAAAUCCAAAACCUCAGCAAUGCGACCCUGCAAUGCAUGAAUGCUAAAAUCUUGUGACAUAGUAAUCCACCGAACAGGAUGAAACAUGCCUAGUUUAUCGUGAAGCUGAUUAUAGAUGUGUGUAGCCAAAGCUGUCUUUCCCACCCCCCCCAUCCCACAGAUGCCAAUGCAUGAGACCUCAUCAUUCAACAACCCAGACCAGACAGCAUUCAUGUUUCUUUCCAUAGCUUGGCCCACUAGCUUUGUUGUCGGCAAUACAUAUCUUUCAGUCCUACGUUUCUUAUGCACAGGCCUUUUAGAAGAGGGUUGUCUCUCAACAACAGACUGCAUCAAUUCCGGACUCGUGGUCAGUCUACCAAUUCUUAACUCAAAAUCCCUCAUUGAUGAGGAUGAGAUGUUAUUCAAGUUCAUUUCAAAUGACUGAUGUGCUUGCUCUGUUCUUUGUACUCUAGUCUCGGGUUCAUCUGGCAUAAGAACGAUAGGAGCUCUAGGUUCCUCGACAAGCUCAGUCUCCCCCCCAAUCAGAAGACCCUUCCGUUCUCGUUCAUCCGAAAGAGGUUGUUCUUCUUGUUCCAUUUCUAAGCCCCGCAAAGCAGUUGAAGCUGCAUUAAUUCCCUCGUU